AAAACUUCAAAAAUCCUUUUGUGAUUUCUUUUCACUUUAGUACCCUGUGGUUUAAAAUGUAUCAAGUUAGUACCCUGUGGUUUUUCACUUUAUCACUUUAGUACCCUGUGGUUUAAAAUGUAUCAAGUUAGUACCCUAUGGUUUUGCACUUUAUCACUUUAGUAUUCUGUGGUUUUAAUUUUGCAUCAAGUUAGUAUCCUGUGGUUUUUUAAACUAUAAGGUACUAAAGUGAUAAAGUAUGAAACCAUAGGGUACUAAAGUGAUAAAAUGCAAAACCACAGAGUAUUAACUUAAUACACUUUAAACCACAGGGUACUAAAGUGAUAAAGUGAGAAACCAUAGGGUUCUAACUUGAUACACUUUAAACUAUAGGGUAUUAAAAUAAAAAAGUGUGAAACCACAUGAGGGUUUUUAAAGUUUUCUCCUUUUUUUUUUUCUAUUUUUAAAAAUCUGGCACUGCAGUAAUAUGGCGUAAAUGUCCAUGGGGCCUGGGUUAAUUAAGGUGGGAACGUGAAGAGGACACUGGGCUGCGGGGCCCAGCUCAUCCAGCCAUUCAGCAUACUCGCCGCUAUAAAUAUGAAACUGUGGAUAGACCUUCCGCCGUCUGCUCUCGCAACGUCAGUCUCCAAGUUUGGCAUCGAGCUGAGGUUGUUACGACAUCACCUGCAAUUAUUGAGCCAUUUCACUAAUAGUGAUCGCCAUCGAAAGUUAGAAAAAGCCAUUGGCUUUAGACACCAAAAUACGCACGCAGACACACCAACUAGAACACGGACGUCAAUCGCAGCCGUCCGACGGAUUCCAGUGGCAAGAGUCACAAACCGAAAACGGUAGAGAUUAAAUCAGAGCUGCACAGCGCCAAAUUGUGAAUGAGAAAUACUGCCUCCACAUCCAAAAACAGAGUAUAAGCUUUGCGUUCUCGUCAAAGUGUUGAAAUAAUUAUUUUAAAAUCUUUAUUAUUAAUAAUAAGAAAAACUGCGGUAAAAUUAGUAAUAUGAUAAAAUUAAAAUUUGGAUGAGUGAAAUGCAAAAUUUAUUUUUAAUUUUUAGUCUACAAAUUGUAUUGCUUAGAAUACUGUAUCACAUACGGUUUUUUUUACUUUGCCCGAAAUGAAUGGCCAUUCUUUUGCGACUACACUUUUCUUUUAUUUGUCACCGUCUUUUAAAUUUUCUUUUCCUUUCUUAUGUUUUAUAUUUUACGGCUUUUGUCGUCGGUGUGCGUGCGUGAUCAGAAGAGGAGAAGCGGGGACGAAAUGUGGCGUCGCCGGCACGCAAAUCAUCGCGGUCUACUUCCCAAUCCCUAUCUAUACGGGCAAUCUUUAUUCCAUUCCAUCCAUCACUAAUUAGCAUAUCGCUCCCGAUUCACGUGUUGAGAAAUUUUUUUUUUAAAAAAUACCGGUACAGGUAGCUAGCUCACUCCCGGUACCAAUACCGCUAAUCCUUGUGCUGCUGUCCUUCCGCGUCCCUCGUCUCGCCCGCUGUUCAGACUUCAGAAGAAAAAGCGCAGGGGGAGAGAGAGGAGAAAGAGAAAGGGGGAUCAAUCACCGACGUCCUUUUUCCUUGUUGUAUUUCUUUAAUAUUGCUCAUUAAAUAUCUAUCGAUCUAUCUAUUAUUAUUAUUAUUAUUAUUAUUAUUAUUUUGUUUUUGACAGGGAAACUUUUCUUCAGAGGGCAGGGGCGUUCGCUCCCCCCUCUUAAUAGUAGUGCUAUAAAUAAAUAGAAAUGUAUAUGGUAAUAAUAACAAUAACAAUAAUAAUAAUUCUGGAUAAUAAUAUUCAAAAGGAGUGGAGGGAGGGACAGGGUUCACCAAGGCUAGGCUAGGCUAGGCUCUCCGGGGAGUGCUGCUGUGUUUGCGCCUCGGAUUUUCGGCGGGAAGGGUCAAAAUUGAAGAGGGUGUUGGGGAUCUCCGAAUUCAGGUCGGGUUUUGUUCGAAACCACUCUUGCUUGCAAUCAUUCCCUCUUUCUUCGGUUGUUUGGUUUGUCAAAAGAAACGGAAACGGCCAGUGAAGAGUGGUGAAAGAUUUAAGUGGCCUUCUUCUCCUCCUCCUCAUCCUCCUCCUCCUCCUCCUCCUACUACUUAUUAUUAUUAUUAUUAUUAUUAUUAUUAUUAUUAUUAUUAUUUUCUUCUCUUCUGUUUUUGCUUUUCUUUUCCUUCUAUAUAGUUAGUUACCUGUUCUAUUUGAUGUUUCGAACUCGGAGAUUAUCUAUGCAUGCGAGUCUCUGCGUCUCAAAUCUAGCACUAUCAGAGCUUUACAGUUUUGAGUGCUCGAUGAUAAAUAAAGUGAUUUAGUAUGCGAAUGAAAUUUUUCGCCUUGAAUUUCUGGAGUAGUAAAUAGAGCGCUAAAUUGAACUGUUGAAUUCGGUUGCCUUUGUAAUAGUAAUAUCCCCUUCAAAAGUUUGGAAGUUCAAAUUACAUGCCAUUACCGUGGCUUAACUUCUGAUGAUUGAUUAUACUUUCGCUCCUGUUGCUUAAACAGGAAAAUUGUUUUGAUCUUCUGUGGCCAAAUUGUUAUCAUCUUGCUCAAUCUUUCUGGGCUUAUUUAAUAAAAUAUGUUAACUUCUUGAGUUUAGUAGAAGAGAUGGUUGAGUUCUAUGCAAAGAGUCUUGAGGGAGUCUGUUUGAUUCCUUGUAUUUGUAUACUUGGUGUGUUAAACAGUGUGUCAGAAGACAAGACUCUGGUGAUACUUCUGGUUAUUCUUAAUUCUGCUUCAAUUUUAAAGCAUGGUUGUAAAUCAGCGAUUGGUACUACAAAAAUAGAUUCUAACCAUACUCAAGUAGUGUAGAUCAUGUUUAACUGUGCCGAUCGUCGAAUUGGAAGCUCCAUCAUCGAAAAUAAAUCGGUAGCAAUGGAGCCCACUUGCUACUGAUAGUCUUCUAACUCAACUAUAUAUAUAUAUAUAUAUUCCUGGAACUCAUGAUCCAAAACCAAUCAGCUUAUAAUGCAUUAGAUUUUUCAGCAGAAAAUUAUAAUCAAAGUUUAUACUAUUGAUAACUUCUCAGGAUGGAAGGUGCUAAGUCAUAUGCAUGGCGCCGUGCUCUUAUCUGGGUACUGAUAUUUUUGAAAGUGGAAGGUUAUUUUGUGGAUAUCACAUAUGUCGAAGACGCUGUAGCAAAAGGGGCAGGUAAAUAAUCGUGCCAAUAUCCAAAUGCUCAUUCCAAUUGAGUUGGUAUCAUUACUGGUAUUUCCUUUUGUCUUUUAAAAAUGUUAACCACAUCAAAUACUUUGGUGUGAACUGGGCUACUUGAUUUGUUUCUUUUCUGGUUUAUUUUCUAAGCUGUCUCUUCUGUUUUGCCCAUAAUCCACCUUCUUUUUGAAUAAAAAUGCAGUUUGUUUGGAUGGAAGCCCACCUGCAUAUCAUCUGUCCCCAGGUUUUGGGUCAGGGGUGAACAAUUGGUUGGUUCAGAUUGAGGUCAGUAUAUCAUAUUGUACUAUUUGGGUCAAUCAAAGAGUGAACUUGUUUGUUUCUAAUUGAUAUUUUGCAAUCUCUUUCUUUGUAAUAAUUACUUUAUCACAUUUAGUUGGAAUUUGUUUCCCUUCAAAUCUCAGGGAGGAGGAUGGUGCAACAAUGUUACGACUUGCCUGGCGCGCAAGGUUACACGUUUAGGAUCCUCUAAGCAAAUGGUGAAGCAGCUGGCAUUUUCUGGAAUCCUAAGCAACACUCCUCCAUUUAAUCCAGGUUUGUCCUAUGAUAGCUAUCUGUUCGUUACAAGAGGAACCGGCAAAUUUCUUUCUGUUUCUGAAUUCCUUUUGGUAGCAAUAUGUUCCUUUUGUGAUUCCAGAUAUUGUGACUAAUGGGCUUGCCUUAGCUAGUUGUUAUAGCCUUUAAGGACAUGUAUAACUCCCUCUUAACCACAGCAUUUAACAUAUCAUAGAAUGCCGUGUGCUUGAUUACAUGAGCAGGUCAAAGAAAAACUUUAUUAAUUCGAUUUUCUCCCACACGUGACUUGAAGCUUUUAACACCUAAUAAAAAGUGAAGAAACUUGAGAUUAUGUAGUAGUAUGAGUUCUAAACUGAUAUGCACAUUGUUCUGUAUUCUUUCUUGUGUUGGCUGGACUGCCAUUCCCAGAUUUCUAUAAUUGGAAUAAGGUCAAGGUUCGUUAUUGUGAUGGUUCAUCAUUUACUGGUGACGUAGAAAGAGUAGAUCCUGUGAGUCUCACGUACCUUGAUUUCUCAUCUCUUUUUAUUUAUUUAUUUUUUCCUGUUGCGACUUCGCAAUAGUCUAGUCAUUAUUAGGUACAACAUCAGAAAUAUUCAUAGAUUAACUUUUGCUUUUGUAUGGGCAUAUAAGUAGGUAACCAAUCUUCACUACAGAGGAGCAAGGGUGUGGCUUGCUAUUAUGGAGGAUCUGCUUGCCCGAGGAAUGGACAAGGCUGAGAAUGUGUGCUUCCUGUGAAUCCUAACUUUCCCUUUUAAAAAAGAGAAGAAAAUUACAAGAGUAGUCUUUAGAAACUUUAAAUUCUCGCAGGCUCUUCUUUCUGGGUGUUCAGCUGGUGGGUUGACAUCCUUACUUCACUGUGAUAACUUUCGUGCACUUUUACCAACGGGUGCCAAUGUAAAAUGCCUCUCUGAUGCCGGUUAUUUUAUUAAUGUGUAAGAUCCUUUUUAAUCUUUUUCCUUCUUAGUCAGAAGUUCUUUUUCUAUGUAUAAGAUUCCUCAAAUCCACAGAGUAGGCUUGUUGAUCAUAUCUAUCUACAAGCUUACCAUCUCAAGUUGCUUAUGACUCUAUUUUCUUAUCUCUUCUUAACGACAGGAAGGAUAUUACUGGAACAGCUCACAUUGCUGCAUUCUUUGAUGAUGUGGUGACAACACAUGUAUGCCAUAGAUUGAUUUUGAAUUCCGAUGAAAAGUUUACAGGGGAUUUGCAAUUUGUAGCCAAUGUACUUGAUUCAACUCUAUUUAUUUCUGAUGUUUGUCCAUUGCUUAUUCGUUUCAUGACCUGUAGGGCUCGGCAAAGAAUUUGCCAUCUUUUUGCACUUCAAGAAUGGCUCCGGGCUUGGUAAGUACAUUUGUACAUCAAACAUGAACUUCUUACUUUAGAGAAACCAUGCUGUCUUGUCAGCACAUUUUUCUGCAAUUGCAGUGUCUUUUUCCCCAGUACUUGGUGCAGCAGAUACAAACGCCACUCUUUAUAUUAAAUGCGGCAUAUGAUUCAUGGCAGGUUAGCUUCUUAUCAUUGAUGCUAAUGUAUUUAUAACAAGAAUGUAGAGAGAAUGAACUUAACAAAAUAUCUUUGUUAACUCAAUUUUUCGGAUAAUUUAUUUACUUCUUUGAAAUGGUGAUUGAGCUUUUUAUCUUGCCGUUUGUAGUAGGAGAGACUCAUUUUUCUGUAGAUGGUUAAUGUAAAAUUUCUUCAGAUACUUUAUUUUUUUUGUCAUGUAUUCAUAUAGUGAGAAGUGCGUACGUAACUACUAUAGGUGCUUCUCCAUUUUAGAUAAAGAAUAUUUUGGCACCGGGUGUUGCUGAUCCCCAUGGUACUUGGCAUGACUGUAAGCUUGAUAUAAAACAGUGCUCUUCAUCUCAACUUCAAAUCAUGCAAGGUUAGUGCUCUCCGAUACAGCCAGUUGCUCUAAUUGUUAUGCUGUAGGAACUUGUAGUGAGGUGGAGCUGUUAAGCAUUAGAAUAGUGUUUGAAAUUCUGUGUGAUGGCUUAGCAAAUGUUCAUACUGUUUUAACUUCUUAGCUGGCAUGGAGACCAAGGGAAUUCUGAUUGGUUCAGCAAAUCUCUGUACUAUUUUUAAUUUGGUGUAACAGGUUUCAGAACGGAAUUUCUGGACGUGUUGGCUGAACUUGGAAGCUCUUCAUCUAGAGGGAUGUUUAUAAACUCCUGUUAUGCCCAUUGCCAAUCAGAGAUGCAGGAGACGUGGCUCGCAUCCGAUUCUCCCAUGCUUCAAAAUACUGUAAGGCUUUCAACUUCAAACUAUCAAACCAUAAAGCAACUCCAAACCAUAAAACACCAGCCUAGAUCCUGCUUUUCUUCUGGUCUUCAAGCAUGCAAAAAAGACUUCAGACCUCUCAGAAUACUUUUAACUCUUUCCUUCGAUGAUGCUCUGAUGCCCUAUGUACCUUCCCUUUCUGUUCCACUCUUCUUUCUUUCUUCUUCUUUCUUACUCCUUUUUUCAACCUUUUGCCGCUCUCUUGGAGGCCCAAGCUGCCUCCAACUUGUAUGUUCAGUUCAUUUGACCUAAUGAAUGAAGCAGGUAGUUUGCUACCUAUUUUCUCAAAAAAAACUCUUUCCUUCGAUGCUUAAAGUCCCCCCCCCCUUCUUUUUUUAUUUUCCUUUUUUUCCCGUGCAGACAAUUGGAAAGGCUGUUUUUUAUUUUCCUUUUUUUCCCGUGCAGACAAUUGGAAAGGCUGUAGGAGACUGGUUUUACGGUCGCAGUGCCUUUCAGAAGAUCGACUGCCCUUACCCAUGUGACUCCACUUGCCAUAACCGCAUAUUUGAGGACUACUCGGCCGCAUAGCAAUUACAGUACCCUUGCCUCUUAUUCUCAUUCAUUAUAUUGUAUCUGUUCGAAUAAUUUAUGCUCAAAAUUGAGCAAUUGCUAAAGAAUAAUCUCUUCAAGAAUAACAAAAUGUAUAAGAAUUUGACUUCACGGGUACUUUCAAUCAAAGUUCUUUUAUUUGUCCGGCAGAUCUGCAUGAGAUUAAAUUCUUUAUUUCUGGGGUGUUAAGGACACCAUUUGAUAUCUAAAGAGAAACUUUGGUGAAAUAAAGCGAUGAUAUUCAGAUUAAGCUAAUCUUUAUAGAAAAUAUCAUAUUCACAAUAUUUACUACCACCACCACCCCCCGUAGAAGUAUAUAUCUAGUACAUGAGGAAGAAUUUAGAUGAUUUUCCCUGACAAAACCUUAGGCACCACUAUGCCUGCGUACGUAGCUACCUCAAAUGGAUCGCUACCGGUCUAACAAGUCAAUCAGCUGAGCCCAAACAAUAAAAUAAAAGAUUGUUAAGAUUCAGAUUUGGUAGGGGUGCGGCGCCAGGCCCAUGCAGCAGUGCGACGCAUGGGCGACGCGCGAGGGCCCCGGCAGCAAGCUACCGUGGGUUGAGCCCUCCGCCACAUAAUAAAAAUUAAUUUAAUAUCGAGGUGGGCGCAUGGCCCACGUAUCAGAUAUUAAACUGAAAAGAACAGAUACUACACUUGAUCUUAGCCAAAAGGCCGAAAAAGGUAUGCUUUGCUGCAUGGGCCUCGGUCCGCCCUUAAUUCCCACCGCCCGAUGAUAGCGGUUCACCGCUUUCGAUGUGGGACUUUUCCUUUCUCUGCUGUUGCCUGUUGCCUGUUGGCAUAGACGGGAACUAAAAGAAGACGAGAAGAAGGGAGGCGGUGAGAAGAUGAGACCCGAGCUCAAACUGCGUCGAUCCGACAUCCUCCUCUUCGAACGGGUCCGUUUGCCCCUGUGCUGGUUCUUCUAUGAGUAUGACUGCCUCCGGUCUCCAGUCUCCACCGCCUUGCUAGGGUUUUACUUGCAAUUUCCCAACCGCACCCAAAACCCAAACUAGUGACCUAAAGUAGUCCUCCACCAUUUCAUUUCUCUUCGAUCGCUCCUUCUCCUUCUCCUUCUCUCCGAGAUGGCGGCGUCGGGCAUGACCGGGCAGGGCUCGAGCUUGAAGAGGCGGGAGUCGACGGCGGCGACGAGGGAGGGGGAUCAGCUCAUUAUCACCCCGCUGGGGGCCGGCAGUGAAGUGGGCCGCUCCUGCGUCUACAUGUCCUACAAGGGGAAGAUCGUCUUGGUGGGUUGGGUUGGGUUGGGUUGGGUUGGGUUGUGUUGCAUUCUCGUUUGAGGGAGGUUUACGAACUAACUGAGUAUUUCUUUCGGAUUCUGAUUCUGGUUUACAGUUCGAUUGUGGGAUACAUCCGGCGUACUCCGGCAUGGCCGCCCUGCCUUACUUCGAUGAGAUUGAUCCUUCAACCAUAGAUGUGCUUCUCGUUACUCAGUAUGCCUUGCUUUCUCUUUGCUCUGUCUUUCAUUUCAUCCCAUAAGUACCCAAACUAUAUGUACACAUUAUUAUUUUUCUUAUUCUUUAAAAAUUUCCUCUUAUGCUUUUAUCGCCUCUUAUUUUCGGGAUAUCCUCGUGAAAUCAAAUGUAAACAGACUCUAAUAUGAUAGCCAUGUAAUUGAUUUGCAGCUUUCACCUUGAUCAUGCUGCGUCAUUGCCAUACUUCUUAGAGAAGGUAUGCUUCGUUUUCUCUCACGUUGAUCUAACUAUCAUACUUCUUGAACCUUGUAAUCCUAAUAGACAAUCUGAUUCUCAGACCACUUUCAAAGGGAGAGUUUUUAUGACUCAUGCAACAAAGGCCAUUUACAAGCUGCUUCUGUCGGAUUAUGUCAAAGUGAGCAAAGUUUCUGUUGAGGAUAUGCUAUAUGAUGAGCAAGACAUUCUCCGCUCAAUGGAUAAGAUAGAGGUACGUUAGUUGCCGUUAGUUGGUUUUGAGGUAGUUUAUGCUGAUCCUAUGCAAUGCAUAGAUUCUGGAGGGUGAUUUGAUUGUUAAGUUUGAAGGGCGUGAAUAUGCCAUCAACAUGUUAUUUGAGUGACAUUUAGGACAAAUUCUUUCGGGUUGGUUGUAAAUUUAUUGGAUAGAUGUAGGCAUAGCAGAAAAUUUGUGCAUAAGAUACUCCGCAUCUCUGGUUUUUCGACUGUGAAAUGAAAAUGGCUUCAUGAUAAUUUUUAAUCUACCUUGCGUGCUAAAAACAUAAUUAUCACAUGAGUAUCCUUGGCUUUUAUCAGAAUGUACAAAUUUAUAUGAGUGAGGAAAGUUUUCAGUGCACCAGUUUAUCAUGCGGCUUCUACAAUGAGCCAUUAAAAAUUGUUAGUACAUAAGACAAAGCUCGUCAACCAUAUGUUUUCUUUUUACACUCAUUGCUUUUCGAAAUAACUAAGUACCUGUAUUCUUUCCUCCAUUCAUCCAAUCAGGGGGGAACUUUUGUAAUAUGACUGCCAAGUGGUUUCAGCAUUACACGACGUCUUCUCAGUACUGUGUACUGCUCCCACUUUGAUAAAAAUAUUGGUCUGUGAGUUUUCUUUUGAUUUGAUAUAACAGCUGCAGAUAGGUGAUCUUCUGUGGUACUGGUCUGAUAUGACUGGAGGGAGUUCGUAGGGGGGUUUAUAGGGUCAGUGAUAAAAUAGAAGAGUUUUGAGUCGACAAAAUGUUAGAUGCCCAGUCUCUUGUGUUUUAAUUCUCAUUUCCUUUCUCGGAAUAGAUUAAAUUAGUCAUUUCUACUCUUAUGUGAGCAUUAGUUUUUCCGCAGUUUGUGUUGGACAUCCAAGUGGUCUGCUGUCUGCAAGGCCUGCCCUGAAAUAUGUAUAAGUUAUUUGGAAGGUUUAGACAACUUACUAUUAUUGACAGAAAUCGCACAUGUGAAAAUAUAAAGUUUUCCUUCAUGAGUGUAAGUAUCCUGUUGCAGUGUCUUAGUAUAUAAAAAAUGCGCGUAGCAUAAUAAAUUCAUGAGAAGAUGCCUUACAAUCUUGAUUUGCUUUGGUGGUGAGGAUGUACUCUCUGGUGAGAAAUAUGUGGUAAGGUGUGUCAGGGAAAAAAAAAAAAGAAGAGGGACUUCUUUUUGACUUCUCAUGUCUUCGUCCUCUUGCUGGUGCUUAACAAGCUUUGUGAAAGGUGAACUAAACAAGGUGAAUAUACUGAUGUCUCUCUCUGCAGGUGAUCGAUUUCCACCAGACGCUAGAGGUGAACGGGAUCCGUUUCUGGUGCUACACUGCAGGCCAUGUCCUUGGCGCCGCAAUGUUCAUGGUCGACAUCGCUGGAGUGCGGGUCCUAUACACGGGCGACUACUCCCGUGAGGAGGAUCGUCACCUUCUCGCUGCCGAGAUCCCCCAGUUCUCCCCUGACAUCUGUAUCAUCGAGUCCACGUACGGCGUUCAGCUCCACCAGCCACGUCUGGCCCGUGAGAAACGCUUCACCGAAAUCAUUCACUCCACCGUCUCCCAGGGCGGCCGUGUCCUCAUCCCUGCUUUCGCCCUCGGGAGAGCCCAAGAGCUUCUUCUCAUUCUUGAUGAAUACUGGUCCAAUCACCCCGAUCUCCAUAACAUUCCAAUAUAUUAUGCCUCCCCUCUUGCCAAGAGGUGUAUGGCUGUCUACCAGACCUACAUAAAUUCCAUGAAUGAGAGGAUAAGGAACCAGUUUGCAAAGUCCAACCCUUUCGAUUUCAAGCACAUAUCUCCAUUGAAGAGCAUAGAGAAUUUCAAUGAUGUGGGCCCAUCAGUGGUGAUGGCCAGCCCAGGUAGCCUACAGAGCGGGCUUUCCCGGCAGCUAUUUGAUAAAUGGUGCUCAGAUAAGAAAAAUGCCUGUGUCCUUCCGGGGUAUGUCAUGGAAGGGACGCUCGCGAAGACCAUCAUUAAUGAACCGAAGGAAGUCACCCUCAUGAAUGGGCUCACUGCCCCUCUCAACAUGCAGGUCUACUACAUCUCCUUCUCCGCCCAUGCAGAUUUCGCUCAGACAAGCGCCUUCUUGAAUGAGCUAAUGCCGCCCAACAUUAUUCUUGUACAUGGAGAAGCUAAUGAGAUGGCACGGCUCAAGCAGAACCUUAUAACUCAGUUCACUGGUACAAAUACAAAGAUCAUAUCCCCCAAGAACUGCCAAUCUGUGGAGAUGUACUUUAGUUCUGAGAAGAUGGCUAAAACUAUUGGACGGCUGGCCGAGAAGGUACCGGAUGUUGGGGAGACUGUAAGCGGCUUACUUGUCAAGAAGGGCUUCACGUAUCAGAUUAUGGCGCCGGAGGACCUCCAUGUAUUCUCACAGCUAUCGACAGCUAAUAUUACCCAAAGGAUCUCUGUCCCUUAUUCGGGCUCGUUCGAAGUCAUAAAGUAUAGGCUAAAGCAAAUUUACGAGAGUGUUGAAUCCCCAUCGCAAGAGGCUGAUGCCCCUACUUUGGUUGUGCACGAAAGGGUCACUAUAAAGCAAGAGUCGGAGAAUUACGUGACGAUGCAGUGGUCCUCCGAUCCAAUAAGUGAUAUGGUUUCUGAUUCUGUUGUGGCUAUGAUCUUGAAUAUUAACCGAGAAGGCCCUAAGGUGACCCCAGUAGAGGAAGCUACCAGGACUCAGGAAGAGACGGAAAAGAUGGCACACAAGGUAAUAUAUGCUCUGAUGGUCUCUCUCUUUGGGGAUGUCAAAGUUGCGGAGGAAGGGAAGUUGGUUAUUACCGUGGACGGGGAUGUGGCACAGCUGAAUGGCAAGAAUGGUGAGGUGGAAUGCGAGAACGAGGGGUUGAAGGAAAGGGUGAGGAUGGCAUUUCGGAGGAUUCAGGGUGCUGUGAGACCGAUUCCUCUAACCGCAUAAUUUCCGGCCUUAGUUUUUGGAGGAUACUUUUGUUGUUAAUGGAUAUACCGGACCGAAGCCAAGUGAUAAAUGUUUCACGAACUACGUAUUUUAUAUUCACUGAUAUUAAUUACUCGCACCAAACAGCAUUGUGUCCCUGCAGCUUAGCUUUUGUCAAUAUUUUCAGUUUUGAGAGUAUUUUUGAUAAUGAGUAGAGCUACUAUGCUAUCGGAAACAUGGAGGAUCUGAUGCUUUCGAUUUUUUUGCCUUUAAAUUAGCUUAUUUGAUCAUUUCUAAUAUUUGAAUUAAUACUAUUAUCAUGUGUGGACCACUCUACUUUAGGGGUACUAAUCAACCUUAGGGGGGAAUUGUAAUUAUUCCAACCAUAUCAUUUUUGAUCCAAGGGUCAAAAAGUCGGAAGCAUCAAAUUCUCUAUACUUUUGAUAACAUAGGAGCUCUAUGCUUUGAUAAUUGUGUUGAAGCUUGCAACUGCUUUCUGAGUACAUUGGAGUACGGUUGUUGUAACUUACAUGAUCUAUUGCUUAAGUAGCAAUGAGUAUCUCAUGCACUACUCUGCAAGUAACUCUGUUAUGUUUUGCAUUGCAUUAGGGGCAACAGACGGACAGUGCGGUCUGUAUAUGUAUAAUUUUGCAUUUUGUAGCUCUCUUUUGUUGUCUGCAGCAUGUACAUGAUCACUUACAUGACGGCGCUCAGAAGAGUUUAUUUGGUUCUCGAUCACACACACAGGAUGAUAGAGAACGAUGUUUGUUUGUAAUACGCUAGUCAAAGAAAUGCAAAUGGUGCAUACAGGUUCGAGCAGCAAGGAACGCCAAAUAAAGAUCAAUCCAAAGAUUUCCAGAACAGUAAUAGCCCAUGAUGAUGAAAAGAAAGAGAAAGUCUUGAGAUACAGCUGAUGGAGCACAAGUGUGAAAAAGAAGAAGGCUGAACCGAACCCUAACUAAUUAAGAUAAUGUCCGUGUCCAUGUCCUCCUCGAUAAUAUGUUUCGUGUUCUGGGGCACUGGGAGACAUGGUAUAGGUGCUGUGUUAUACUAGACUCGGCCGUCCCAGAGGCACUCGAGGGCGGCAGAGGGCCGUUGGAGGAUGCGGGCGACGUCGGGAGGGGGGUUGAGGCCCAUGGCGGCGGCGCGCUCCCACCUCUGCAGCCGGCCGAGCCCGAUGCAGGGCCCGUACCUCAUGUCCAUGUCGAACUGCCUCAGCCUCUCCUCUUCUUCUCCGUAGUCAUCUGAACGAACCAACGAACGAGCGAGUAAUCUAAUAUUUUAUUUAUAUAUAAUAUAUAAUAUAUCAUCAGGGUAGGUUUUCAAAUUAUAGAGGAGAGGAGAGGAGAGGAGAGGGGUUGGGGGAGGAGAGGGCUCUAACCCACCUACGAGAUCCAAGGAUCCGUGCGCGAUGAGGGCCGGGGUCUGAGCCGGAUCGGGAGCUCCGACGGACGCUCCGCCGGUGUGCUUGCCGCCCCAUUCCUUCUUCUUGGAGUUGGAGGGGGCGGCUUUGUCUUUGGCCUUAGCCUUACCGCCGCCGCCCUUCUUCUUCGUCUGCCGGUAGAAACCCUUGAUGUCCUUCGAUGCCAUUUUCUCUCUCUCUCUCUCUCUCUCUCUCCCCUCUCCCUCUCUCCUCCGUUAGACGGACGGAUUCGAAUUUUAAAACACGCGAUAGGGCUUCCUUUUUUUAAAACAUAUCAUCAUCGGUGCAGGGAAAAAAAAAAAGAUGAAGAAAAUAACUUUCCACGUGGACGCUCACGAUCUCGUUAUCAUCCAAGUCUUUCUUUGCUGCGAUAGAAAUAGGUUAGGGGAAAGAGUUUGGUUACUUUUCCCAGCCGUUUGAUUUUGUUUGAGUGCAUUUAAAACCGUCCGAUCAAAACUAGAUGUAUUCAAUAAAUAAUUAAUAAAUAGUCAUAAUAAUAAUUGUUUGUGUUUAUUUCCUUGCUGCAUUUUGAUUUGUGCGGUCCAAGUAUGAUAUGAAGUGCAAAAAGAUCCAGUCCCACGGAUAGAGAGAGAAAAUCUGUAGUGAGGAUUGUGUGGGUUAGCUGCUGCUGCCCACAACACGCACGCACGCGCGCACGCACGCACAAAAUAAAAACAAAAAUAAAAUUUAAAAAAAAAACCAAGGUUAAAAAAAGCGGGUGAGGAAUUAAGGAAAGAAAGAAGAUAAAAAGCAUAUGUAUAAGUAAGAAGAUAAAAAGCAUAAAGAAGGCGCCAUGAUGUUGAGACAGGGAAGAGAGAAUUUGCUGCGGAGCCAUGUCGUCGUCGUCGUCCUCCCUUGUUCCACCUCUUCUCGUCCUAUGCCCCAGCAACGCCGCCACCUCCUCCUCCUCCUCGCGUCUCCCUCCUCUCCUCCCUUCCUCCCCGACAACCCCAGCGGCGACGAUACGAGAAGAAUCCGACCAUGCCAAGUCGCCGAAGCGGCCCACCGCGCUCCUCCGCGCCCGGCUGAGCCGGCUCUGCAAGGAGGGGCGCCUCGACCGCGCCCGCCGCCUCUUCGACUCGAUCCUCCCCGGCGCCGCCGACCCCCCUCCGACCCUGCUCUGGAACACCCUCCUCAUCGGCUACGUCUGCAACUCCCUCCCCGACGACGCCCUCCGCCUCUACGCCCUCAUGAACAUGAACAACUCCUUCCCCCGCUCCGCCUCCGCCUCCGCCUCCGCCUCCGACUCCGACCACUACACCUACUCCUCCGCCCUCAAGGCCUGCGCCCACUCCCGCCGCCUCCGCCUCGGCAGGUCCAUCCACUGCCACCUCAUCCGCCGCUCUUCUGCCCCGCCCAAGAACCCCGUCCUCAACAACUCCCUCCUCAACAUGUACGCCUGCGCCUCCGACCCCGAGCCCGCUCGCCCCGACGUCGUCCGCGCGCUGUUCGACAGAAUGCCCCGCAGAAACGCGGUGUCUUGGAACACUGUCGUUGCGUGGUACGUCAGAUCCUGCCGCCCGAACGACGCCCUGGCGCUGUUCAAGUGCAUGAUCGAGGCGGGUAUUAGGCCUUCUACAGUCAGUUUCGUCAACGUAUUCCCGGCAGUGGCCGCAGCAGAUGGUGUGAUUUGCCACGAUGCACUCUAUGGAUUGCUCAUUAAGCACGGAAAAGAAUAUGCAGAUGACCUGUUUGUCGUGAGUUCUGCGAUAUGUAUGUUCUCUGAGCUCGGGGACAUAAAAUCUGCUCGGCAGGUCUUCGAUCGAGCUGACGAUAAAAACACCGAGGUGUGGAACACAAUGAUAAACGGGCAUGUUCAGAAUGGGCAAUAUGUUGAAGCCAUUGAUCUCUUCCUCCAGAUACUGGGAUCCGAGGCGGUCAAUGCGGAUGGCGUGACUUUCUUGUCUUCCCUAAUGGCAAUCUCUCAGUUACAGGAUGUCAAGCUGGGCCAGCAGGUCCAUGCUUAUUUGAUAAAGGACAAUCUGUCGGCGGUUCCGUUGAUUGUCCGCAAUGCGCUCAUCAUCAUGUACUCGAGGUGCGGUCGUGUUCAAUCUGCCUUUGAUUUGUUUUGUCAAAUGCCGAAGAGAGAUAUUGUAUCUUGGAACACCAUGAUCACUUGUUUCGUGCAGAAUGGUUUUGACUUGGAGGGCCUAUUGCUUGUAUACGAGAUGCAAAAAAAGGGACUCAUUGUUGAUUCUGUCACUUCUACAGCCUUGCUUUCUGCCGCAUCAAAUCUGAGCAGUAUCCGAAUUGGAAAAGAGACACACGGGUAUCUCCUCAGGCAUGGAAUACAGUUUGAAGGAAUGGAAAGUUAUCUCGUUGACAUGUAUGCAAAAUCGGGCUGUGUUGAGACUGCACGACAGCUGUUUGAUGGGAAUUCCCCUCCCAACCGAGACCAAGUCACUUGGAAUGCUAUGAUUGCUGGAUAUACACAAAGCGGACAGACUGAACAGGCUAUCACAGUGUUCCGUGCAAUGCUUGAAGAAGGCUGGGAACCAAAUGCAGUGACUCUCUCACCACUGCUGUCUGCUUGUGAUCCAGUUGGUGGAAUACAAGCUGGUAAACAGAUUCAUGGGUUUGCAAUUCGCCACUAUCUGGAUGAUAAUGUUUUUGUUGGUACAGCUCUCGUGGACAUGUAUUCCAAGUGUGGUGAUAUUUUCGCUGCGGAAAGAGUGUUUGAGGGAAUGCCUGUAAAGAACACAGUCACUUACACGACAAUGUUGUCCGCAUUGGGUCAGCAUGGGCUUGGUGCGAGAGCUUUGUCCCUCUUUCACACAAUGGAAAAGUUGGGGACAAAGCCAGAUGCUGUCACCUUCGUGGCAGUGAUCUCAGCAUGUAGUUACUCUGGGUUGGUCGAUGAUGGUCUUGCCGUAUAUUAUUCGAUGGAGAAAUUUGGGAUCGCGGCCACACCGGAGCAUCACUGUUGUGUUGUGGACUUAAUGGGCAGAGCUGGGAGAGUGGAGGAAGUAUAUGAGUUUGUUAACAGCUUGGGGGAGGAUGGUAAUUUCGUAGGAAUCUGGGGAUCGUUGCUUGCGGCAUGUAAAGUGCAUGGGAAGUUAGAGUUGGGAAAGCUGGUUUCAGAGAGGCUCUUUCAACUUGAGGAAGAAUAUGGGAUUGCAGGCUACCAUGUUCUUCAUUCAAAUUUACAUGCUGUGGAGGGUAAUUGGGACAAUGUUGACAGGGUGAGGAAGGAGAUGAGAGAGAGGGGGUUGAGGAAGGUGCCUGGAUCCAGCUGGAUUUAUGUUGAUAAUGCAGCACACAGAUUUAAUUCUAGGGACCAAAAGCACCCAGAAAAUUUCCAAAUAUACUCGAUGUUGCAAGAGCUAACAUUAGAGAUGAAAUCUUCUGGUUUUAAGACCCUAGAUCCUUGCAUUUUGGAUGGGGUUGCUGAGUUCUGAAUAUCGUAGUAUCUUUCAAGGCUAAACUUUGGCAACUCCCAAGUAUUGGCGGUCAGAAGGAGACACUUAAGUAGAAAAAGGUGAUUGACAAAUCCUUUCCUCCAGGUGUUAACAUUGCUUGUUCUUUGAAGAAGAGGGCCCUAGAAUGUUAAUGCAGAUGUCAUCAGCUGCUAGCGAAUAGAAGAUCAGGCUGUGCGUUGUCACUGCAAGUAUGAGCAGAAGCAGUUAAAUAAUCGUGCGUCAUGUUUAUUACAAAGCCAGUCAUUUUAACAUCGAUUACCCUGUUUUAUACGCUCUUGCAGCCUAUUUCAUUUGACUGGGAGACGUGAAAAUGAAAGCAGAAAAAAGGACCAAAAAAAAAAAAAAGAGGAGGAGGGGAGCCUUCGAAUGUUGCUGUGUUGGCACUUGGCCAUAUACAUGUACAGUAGAAAUGUAUAGAUGCCUAAAAGUUGUUGGCUAUGAAGAUUGUUUCCUGGGACCACUGUUCAGAUAUGCCAAGACAUCAAAUUUGAUCAUUUGAAUCAAUGAGAUGAACUGUAUGCGGUUAACAAAAUACCUGAUUCAUUGCUUUGUUUUUUUUUUAAAUUUCUCCACCGAGUCUUAUACUUUAUUUGUUUAGAUUGGUAGAAAAACUAGAAUUUACAUAUAAUCACCAUGACUGCAAAUUUAGGGCUCAAGUACAAGCAGAUCCAGGCAGAAAACCCUGAUUAAUCAGGAUUGAGGGCAAUAUUUGAUUCUUGUUGCUAUUUGUUAUGGCUGCAGAGUUUUAGCUGAAAAAACAUCUCUUUAUCCUUUCUAUGAUGAACUACCAAGUUUCCAAAGCAGAACCGACUUUCCACAGAACUAAGCUGAGUACUAUUGUCUAAUCCGAAUAGGGUAGUUGGAAGAUUCCGAUGGACUGUAGAACAUACAGAUCUUACUGUUGUUGGACUUGUUUGGCUUUAUGUCUUAUCUGUACAAGAACAAGAUCAGUAGUUCUCUCAGUUCGAUUUUUUCUGGUAAAAAAUUGUACUUGUUUGCAGCGCAUAAAUCUUCUAGCUAAUGCUUAAUUAGGUUUUAUUAGCUCUACCAACUUUUCUUAUUGUUUAAACUUCUAACAGCUGGCAACGAGCUCGGACAGGAGACGGGGGAGUUAGGAACCAGCCCCAAACCUGGCCCACCCGCGCCCGUUGUCCCUAAAAGGCCUAUUAUUCUUUGAUAGGCUCUCGUCGCCCACAACUGGGAAGAGGAAAAGAUCAACCACAAAAAUUCCGCAGAAAAGCGAGUAAACUAGAGGAUAAAACUCGCAAACAACGAACACAGUUUACCUUGCUUUGUAAGGUCACAACAAAGCUACAGUACACGAACGAACACAAACAGCAGACACCGUUUUCUUAGCUCCAACAGACCAUGGAAAAGUUUCAUUAGAAAAGUUAUCACUUGCUGUGCAUGCACGGAUGCACCAAUCGUUGUGAAAGCAAUUGUAGCUAACAGCUGGAGCUGUUAAUAAGGCCACCCCCUUGUGAAAGCACAAGACGGAAACCUACAAUCACCUCCCCUCUUAAGGCCUGAACUCGUACCUUCAACUCAAUGGUCUACAAUGACAAAGAGGAAAAUACAGCAGACGAAUUCGAGACUAAAUAUUAGGGCAGUGAGCAUGAUUAUCCAUGGAAUAAUAUAAGUUUCUCUUCAACUAUUCCUAAUUUGCAGUGACCGCUAACUUCCUACCAGCACAAAAACAAACUUGGUAUCCCAAAAGACUACAAUCAGUCAAUCUCUUUAGUAUUUUAAAGGGCAGAGUAAAAAAAAGAAAAGAAAAAGUAGCUGCCCUGUUGAUCCAGAAAACCAUCAUUCUUUCAAAUUUUCUGAUGUUGGAUCAGCCCAUCUCUUCUGCCUCAAUUUUUGUCAGCCUGUAUGUCAGUGAGUAGUGACACAACCAUGAUCACCUGGUUGAUUUCAGGGACCAGUCAAAAUUUGGCUGAACCACUGCCAGCCCAUUUGCAAGAAUUUUCUGGUUUUUGUUCAGUAUGUAAACAUACUUGGAAGCUUGGGGCUGUGUCCUACUAGGCUACUAUUCUGCACCAGUCCAUCUAUUCCGCUUAAUUUCCGCUUAAUUGGUGCUUGCACAAGUACUCAGUGAGUUAGAUGAGCAUAUGUAUUUUAGCAUAGUCACCAAGAUAGUCUCUUGACAGUGUGGCAAGCCAUUAUGCUUUGCCAUCAGCUAAUCCUAGUCGGCUAUCACAAUAUUGCUUAUAUUCACAGUGGCAAGGACCUGUUCUCACCUGUAGAGAGAAAGCCAUAAAACCUGUCAAAAUAUGAGCAAGGAACAAAACAGCAGAUGCAUUUUCUAACAAGUUUAAUCUUAGAAUAAUUUAAAUUUCAUAAAGAACAUGAAAAUUCAAUAGUUGACUGCCUACUAUAGUUCUUUCCAAUAUAGAUGAGACCAUAGUAUAAGAGGUGACUGGUUUAGAAUUGCCUUUUAAGUCCAAGCAAUUGAACAAAACAGACGGUCCAAGGAGUGCCACCUUAAUAGUUUUCAUACAAUAAACCAACCUGACCAUGAAUUCAUCUAUUUUCCUACUAGCUUGAUGUACAAGAAACCUCAAACUAUAUGUGAAGAGAUGAGCAUGAUCCUAACAUUAACGUAGCUUGCCAACAAAAGAAUACCAAACAAAGGGACUUCUGAACAAGCUUAUAUCGCAUGGUACUCCAUUGUUAACAUUAAAUCUGCUAAGACGUAAUUUCCAAUAUAAUCAGCAAAAUGUUGACAAACCUUCCGGAAAGUGAACGAAACCCUCCUUGACCUCCUCCUUAUUACAUGAUCACCAACCGUAUCAAUCUUGAAAGGAAAGAUGCAUACAGAAUUACAGAUUUCAUAUUAAUAUCAAUUUCCUUGUAAUUCUGUCACCAAACAUGUUAACAGCUCACGAAAUUGUGUACCUUAUGAUGUGGAAUAUAGUGAUGCCAAGCAUACCGCCCUUCUCCAGACAUUAAAAGCAUCGACCGAGGUGGAAGGAAAAUGGCUUGCCUUGUGAAUGUUGACCAUUGACCACUGUUUUCUCCAUCUAUGCCAUUAACCGUAGAAACCGGAAGAUGCCAAGUGCCAGUAGGAUAUCUCCUAAAUUCCAUAAUGCAGGGGCCAGCUAAUGAAAGGCUGAAGAUUAAGUCAUCAAAUGCAGAAUGGGUAUCUAUAUGCGGGGAUAAGCCAACACCAGGAGGAUAUUCAUUAACCUGUAAAGCAUACGACAGGUUACAAUCGUGAACAGUCUUUUUUAGCAGUCUAAAUCUACAGGCACAAAAUAAGGGCCUACAUAGCUAUUAAAGAGGAUGAAUAUCACUUAGCCUAAGCACAUGGUUGAUUGGUUUCUCAUGUGGUUUGAGUACUUGCAAGUCGGUACAUAAUCAGGUAAAUGGUUUCAAAGCAUAUAGCAGCAAGAAUGAGAAGCAUUUAGUCCCACAACCUCUUCAGUAUUAAUCACUAUUUAAAUUCAUCUGCAAUUGUUUUCACCUAGCAACUAUUGUCUGAUUUUUUUUUUUUUUAAUUUAAAAAAGUGCUCCACUAAUUUGUAGAAUCUCCAGCCAUACAGAUGAAGAGGAAAGACAAAUGAGGGGGGAAAAAGCAAAGCACUGGAAAUUAUGUAAAUAUGCAGGAUGCCACAAAGAGAUACCUACGCAGGUGCUUGCAUGCAAUGCAAAAACCAUCCAUCAAAUGUACACCAGCAGAAAAAGCACAUGUACACAUGCAAAUCUCGACCAAAUUAAGCUUAUGUCAUCAUCCAUCCUUGUCGAACAAGUCAUGGCAUUAUGUAAGGGAAAAAAAAAGAUCAGGGCUGAAGGAACUAUGGAAAGCAAGUAGGUGCCUUUUUAAAUCAAAAGGAAUGCUAAUCUUUCAUAAUCUUGUCAUUGUCCUUCCAUUCUUCAACUAAUGUAAGUCUCCAACUAAAUAAGGUUGCUACAUGUAUUCUAUUUUUUUCUUUUUUCUUUUUUUUUUCCUCCGCCAACUUUAUGUUUGGAUAUGUAAAUUACUCAGCCAUGGAACAAAAGUAGGAGUAUUUGGAGACAGCCCUAUUCUUCAACAUUUUUGCAUGGUGUGGCCUCUGUGGUUAUUGAACAUUGAUGGAGUUGUCGGAUUGACACAUCUCACAGAGCUAAUAAGAAUAUAUUCACCCAAAUCAAUUGAGAAUUGUCUUGGAUUUUCACAACAAGGUAGUUCAUCAACCACAUGGUGUAAGGUCAUUUGCCUCGCAGAAUCAAUCGUCAUCAUCCUUUUAAAUAGGUCCUUAAGUUGGAGCUAUUAGCGAAUUUGCAGCGGGGUUUUGGUGCAAAAAAAUUGUGUGAAGUUCCAAAAGUAGCAAAAUCAAGCCAGUUUUGUGCCCUUUUACUGGUUGCACUAGCUUCCAUGAUCUCAUCAAUAUUGUUAAACAAUGCCAAUCAAUGCCAGUCCUUUGCUAGGCAAGGUUUGGUCCACAUACUACCACCGCACAGCCUUUUCAAGCAAAUACACAUUUACAUGUCAAUAUGGCUUUUCAGCUAAAACAGGAAACCAAAAAAAAAAAAAGCAAACGUUUACGAGCACCUAAAUACUGGAAUGGAAGUGGCAAGCUGAUAGACCACGGCAUUAUAAGAAACUGUCUGCUGAAAAAUGAAUCUGUUGAACAAUUAGGUCCAAAAUAUACCGUCAAUUGAUCCAUCAGUUUGCUUCUGUUUUCCUCAGGUCCAGGAAAUGACAUGAUCUUAUCAAGUAUGGGAGAAACAAAAGGAGGAAGUUCACCCAAAAAGUGCUUUGAAUCAACAUUUCUUGUCUGCAUAAUGAAGUUGACGUUACCAAAUUAGUAAAUUAUGAGAGUACAAGGCAAUCUUCAAACCAUAGUUAUUAUUGGAAAAAUCAUUUUUUAGAACAUGACCAAUUCAAUGAACCAGUGCAGCAACAAAAGAGCCAGAAUCAGGCAAUUCAUUUGUUACAUUAUACGAUCAUCUUAGAUGAGCCAAAACACGCAUUAAUGAGGCCAGACCAAUUAGGCGUUCAAUAGUGACAAUAAAAGGAAACAAACCCCAAUGACAGGAAGAUUGCCUAGUAGGUAUUAGGGUAAGGCACAGUGUUUGGAACCAAAGGAGACCAUAGACUGCUCAUAUAAAUUCUACACUUAAUAUCAUCACUGCAUAGCACUGUUCCAAUAAAAGCCUGUUGAUUUUCCAAGCAUUCCCACCUUUGAGGACAACAAUACUGAAGUGGUUUCAGAUAGCAUCUAGAAGGGAUUUGGGAUUCCCUAUUGCUCAAACCGUUCUUAACUUAAUUCUUACUUUCCCUUCUUUUGUAAGUUAAAUACGCUCCUUUAGUCCCUUAAUUUAAAGAAACUAAGACCUUGCAAAGCAUAGCAUUGCUUCAUAAUAAUAGAUUUUACAUGAGAUAUUAAAAAAUAGCACUGUAUUUUGACGUAUGUUGGCGCAAAUCACGGAUGCCAUGAAAGCAUUAGGCUAAUAAUAUGUGCUAUUGGUCUUGCUAGCAGUUUUUCUAGCAAAUCGAUUAUAUAAAUCAAUUAGUAAAUAUAAAGAUCUUUUUCAUUAACUGAACUGCAAAAUCCCAAACAAUAAAGUAAACCGCACAUUCUUCAGCAUCAGGUACUUACAAGAUAAACUUACGUCAUAAAGAAAUUCAUAGCCAUAAUGCUGAACUCUUCUUUUUGAUAGAUUUUUCCAAGGCCUAAUAUCCACUUCUGAAAGGAGCUUCUAAUGAUGGAAAAGAUACAAAUUAGUUUUAGAAAUACGAAAAGUCCGCAGAUGAUUGAAUGCAAAAGGAAUACAAAGUUUAGAAAAAAUGGCAUUCAACCGGCACAUUUUGGCAUCCAACCUUUUCUUCCUCAACAGUGAUAAAUUCGUGCACUAGGUGAAUUCCAGGAACUGCCACUUCCGAGGAAAAGAAAGAUACAGGAAGCGAAUCAUUAUUUCGGACCUAACAUUGAGAAUUAACAGCAUUGAUCAAGGAUAUAUUGUAAUUAGCAAAAUACGAAUAUAUUUAAUGACAAAACAAACAAUUUCCAUGAUAUAAAAUACUCGUCUUUUAUAAGCUGCGAAUGUUUUCAACAAGUUAAUUUUUAGCAUAUUGUUCAAUUAACAUGAAUAUGGAAGAGCAGUUUCCUCACUAGUCGAGGUCACAUUUAUACAUACAAAUAUAGAAAACAAUUUACCACAUAUUUCUGAAUACGGAUAAGCAUAAUACCCUGCUAGCUAGUCAAUUUUUGCUGAAUGACAAUCAAAAACAUGUGCAUAUUCUGUACUUGACUCUAAGGAAGCAUUUGAAGAUAUAAAAUGAUGCGCCAAUUAAAUCAGCUCAAAACUCAAACCUUCUGUUGUUGUGGCACUGAAUAGCGUAAAUGCAAAGUUCGACCACCAAGAUCCAAGCAAGAGAAGCCAUUCAGUGAUUUAAAUGCUGCUUGAGCAGCAGUCAUUUCAGAAAAGCAAACAAUCACACGAGUGCCAGUAUCAUCAGCGGCAUGGACUCCUAUGACGUUCCCAUAGGUGCUGAAAACUGAUUUGAUUUUGUCAAAUGAUAGUCCCACAGCUGGCCCACAAUUAGCAACGUACAAGUUCGGGCUUGAUUCAUUACUCAACCCUCUGGAACGGGUGAAUCCACUCCCGGCCAUACCCCUAUAAAUGGUAUGUGGUUUUAUGCUAUUCACACCUAGAUAGAAAUAUGACGAUAUUGUUAGAAUGCUAGUUGUCACAUGAAAAUAUGCCAUGCUCUAAGGAAACACAACAAAUAAUACUUGAUGAAAUCACGCAGAAAAUGUCCAAGAAUAUUGAUUUGACAGCAACAGACUCAGUAAUCCAGGUUUUGCCUAUUUAAAUUUCUUAUUGUCUUGAUUCUAUAAUCAUCAGAAUAAGAUUGGACAGUUUGGGAGACAAAUGGAAUUACCACCUGCCCACAAGUUUUGUCAGAAUAUAGACAUCCAUAUGGUAAAAGCCCUAAAAUGAUAUUCGAAUGCAAGGGAAGCGAUUGUUGGUUGCUCAGCAUAAUCUGCAAUGCUGCACUACACUGCAAUGGAUUAACAGGCGCUUCAGGAAAAAAACAAAUCUGCAAAUAGUCGAAAGAUAUUACCGAGCUGUGUUAAGAAACACGACGAUUAGAUAUUAGACAACAAGAAGAGAUACGUCUGAAGUAUGUAGUCCAACAGGCAUCUCUAUCCACAAGAAAUAUUUGUCAUGAUUCAGAUACUCUCGUCAUUACUGACGAGAUAGUGAUCAUCGAUAUUCCGAGCGACCAGCUAAAGAGAGCAUCUUGAGCUUUCAUUAUCCAUCUACAGCCCCGUCAGUGUAGGGGCACUUGUUUGACGGAGAAAGUUGGAAAGAAUGAAGGUCGAUCCGAAACAAGAAGAGCUCGAUCUUCAACACUUGGUUCGGCAAACAAAGCCAAAGAUUGUUAGAGCUAAGAGAUAUAAGGACUAGAAAUUCCCAUUUAUCUCGGAGAUUCCGGAGUUUAAUUGGAGGUGCGCGGCCAUGCAAUAACGACACCAUCGGCUAGCAGCAGGCACCUCGCCUUAUUCAUAAGGGCGUUUCUGUUUCUUACCUUGAGAUGAGAUGCCCUCGCAUCAGAAGAUCACAUGGUCCUUAUGCGAAAACCCUGGGUGAGGGGCAUGAAAUUGAGAUGACUUUGAGUCGAAGAACAAAAAUGAACGCGUACAUGCGGAGGCAAGAAAUAGGGAUCAAGAAUGAGAAAAGGCAGCAACAGCUAUCAAACAAUAGCAUUCUUGUUGUUGAGAAUAAUAUGCUGACAGCUAAUCUUUCAAACUCGCCGGAACCACACACACACACAAACGACGAGAAAGAUGAACGACCGACAGCUACCUCAGAAAAGCCUCAGCCGCCGAUACGAUCGGAGUAAUGCCUUCUUCAAAGUCUCUCUUUCUCUUCUUCUUCUUCUUCUUCUUCUCCUUCUCCUCCUCCGAAGACUGCUGUGCGUAGGAAUUAUAACGCAACGGCGAAUAGGUCGAACCGGCACGGGUCGACCCGCCUAAUUUGGGCGGGGGGCCGGCCAGACCCAACGUUCGAAGAUUAUAAUCCCACAUCGGAAGACAAUGAGGACUCUACCUGGACCAACCGCCUUAACACGGCAGUUGGACCUCCAUUCCAAAGCAUACCUUUCUCGGCCUUUUGGCUAAGAUCAAGUGUAGUAUCUGUUCUUAUCAGUUUAAUAUCUGAUACGUGGGCCAUGGCCCACCUCGAUAUUAAAUUAAUUUUUAUGUGGGGGAGGGCCCACCCACGGUAGCUUGCUGCCGGGGCCCUCGCCGCGUCGCCCAUGCGUUGCACUACUGCAUGUCCCUGGCGCACCCCUACCAAAUCUGAAUCUUAACAAUCUUCUAUUGUUUGGGCUUAGCCAACGAUCCAUUCGUGCGGAGGGUAGAUUCUCGAUCCUUAACGUAGCUUCUUCCUACACCAUUCUUGAAGGGUAAAAACAUCUGAUACAUCUAAAUAUUUCGACAAAAAAAAUUUCAUGAAGCACUAGCCAUUUACCAGGGCAAAGAAAAAGCUAAAUGUUGUGAAUAUGUAUCUCAUUCGCAAAGAUUAUCUUGUCCAACUGUCAUCACCACCUCUGUACAUCUAAAUAUUUCGACAAAAAACAUCUGAUACAUCAGGUAAAAACAUCAGGUAAAAACAUCUGAUACAUCUAAAUAUUUCGACAAAACAAAUUUCAUGAAGCACUAGCCAUUUACCAGGGCAAAGAAAAAGCUAAAUGUUGUGAAUAUGUAUCUCAUUCGCAAAGACUAUCUUGUCCAACUGUCAUCACCACCUCUGUACACAGCAAAAAAUUUGCACAAGACAACAAAAAUUUUGCACUUCGUGCCAUGAGAAACAACAGCAUAAAUUCUUUGUUUUGCGAGGAUUUGAGAGCCCCUUCGCAAAGAUUAAAGCACAGCGACCAGAAACAACCAACGAAAUUGCAAAUUCAUUAAUUCUUGCCAAUGUGCAUAAAGACCUAUACUUCAACUUUUAAAAACCAAAACAAAUAAACAUUGUCAAAAUGCUUCCACACACCACAUUGUCCAAUUAAAAAUCCAUAUACACCCAACACCAGAGCCUGGUCUUGCAUUCUUUCUUUUUUUCCUCAUGCUCAUAUUGUAGCGGAAAAAAACAGCAUCCGAUAUCUCAGCCCUAACAACAAGGCAGCAAACAAUCCCCAAAGAACAUAUGAAUGAGCAUGGGACAUGGCAGUUCAACAAUGAUUAGCUGUAUAAAGUUCACAAUCUUACAAGAAUAACAGUUGAGUUCACAAAUAUAAAUAUAUUUUCUAAUUUAGAUAAAUAUCAUGCACCACAUCAGGAUCGUCUUUCCCUCCUUUAUCCUUUUGGCUGCAGCAGAGAAGUCAAGAAUGUCAGCUACCUUAGCAUGUUUCAACUGUUUUGCAGGCUAUAAUGAGUUAAAGAACAAGCGCAUACUCUCCUAUAGAGUGAAGACAUUAGAAAAACCAACACCAAGCACAGAGAAAUGCUUAUCUUUAGCAGCAUUCUAUUUGUGAUGCAGAAUGUCUUAACAAGCAGACCAAAAGGACUAUGAGAAAUCCAAAUGAGAGAUCACAGAGACAAACAUAAGCACGAUAGAUAAAUAAUGAUAUUCCUGCUGGGUCACGAGAUCCUUCCAUAGUCCUUUCUUGCAUGGGUUGACGGAAGAGUGGUCACAAUGGAAUGUCCCGGCCUCGGCCCUACAAUAAAAGAAUUCAAAAGCUAAAACUGCAAUUCAGAAGAGAAAUUUUUGCAGGCUCUACAUAGUAGUAGUGCAUUUGAAACAUUCUGUAUAAUACUUCUAUGGAUCAGAUGAAGAAUGUAUGGUUAAAACUUAAAGGAAAUAUCUAGUAAAGCAUCGAAAGUAUGGCUUUGUCAAUUACCCCAUGGCAUUCCGUUAUCAAAGAUAACACUGGAAGAAGAAUGUGGAUCAUCCAAUUUGUAGUUUGGCCAGGCUGGUUGAUGACUUUGAUGACUUCUCUCAUUCUGUGCAAUAGCAGAAUUCAUCUGAUCAAACCGCUGAAAAGAUUGCUGUCCAAAGCGGCUGGGAUACUUUUGGUGAAAAUAGUGCGAGCGGCCAUAACCGGGAUGAGUAUCAUGGGAGGUAGAAUGGCUACUCUCUCCAGCUGCAGAUGCUUGAAACAUAUGAUCUGUUCUGUAAUUAAAAAAGAAAACAGGGAAAAUGACUACCACUUUCUUGAGCCUCUAAAAGCUUUCAUUAUAAACAAGCUCACCAAUAAUGAAACAAGAAAAAUGUAACAAGCUAACAGCGAAUUCCUUAUACUAGAGUUUAUUUAUUCUACUUUCGUAUUUAACACUUUUCUUAUUUCUGUAAGGAAAGAUAUAAACAUACAUGUAACAUCACUGAUGUGUAGGUGCCAAAGAUUACAGUUUGAUGAUAAAUUUAGUGUCAGCUAUGGUUUUUGGAGGAAUUGUAGGAUAGAAGAGCUAGAGUCAGUUGUAUGAUUAGCUGUUACAAAACGAUGGCAGGACCAAAAGAUGUAAUAAAUAAUGUUUCAUCAAACUAUAUGCAACAUGAAACAAAUUUUUUUUUUUAAAGAAUGCCUUCCCAACAACACCCGUACUUAAAAUUUACCAAUAAAAUCAUUAAGAUGUCGCAAUUUUUAAUUUCGUCAUGCCAAGCCAAUGCAGACUAAAAACGUGCUUAAUUGCACAGAGGUUCGAGUCACGGAGUUUGCGUGCUUUGGCCAUAGUGCAAUCCCUAAUUUCUGCGGGUUUGGAGACAAUGUCAUGAGCUCCGGCUGUACAUGUCACAAGUCAAAGUUAGUGCUUCAUCUCAUGAUUAGUGUGUACACAGGCGAACCAGAGUCAGCAGUCAGGAUUUGGGAGCCCUGCAACCGUCCCAAACGGCAAAGCACGGAUGGCAGCAGAGAUCCUCGGCCUGACCAAGUUAUGCCUCCACACUCCGUGCUGCCAAACACACACUCCGUGCUGCCAAACACACCCUAUAGCCAUAUUGCAUUGACAACCUGAUUUCUAAGUAAAAGAUCACUCAUACCUUUGGUUUGAUGGUACAAAAUGUGAACUUGAGUGGGCUUGGCUUUGGCCACCGCUAGACCUGCCAGGUCCAAUCCUUGGAGUCGUAAUAUCUACAGUGUUGCCAAGCCGUAGGCGAUUACUCAACUCAAAAGACAUUGAACUGACUUCUGAAUUAUCUUCUUGCAGAAGGUGCUCAUCACUGGAAAGAGAGAAAACAUUCAAUCAAAAUCAGAUACCCCAAGCAAGAGGAUAUUUUUCCAAACCACAGUCGAACUAGAUAAAUGUGGCAAAAUAGCAAUCUGGCAAUAAAAUCUGUUAAACUCUGAGUAGGUUUACAACAUAGAAAGACAAAAUAGACCACCAGUUUCAAGUUCAAUACCCUAAAUUCUAACUAUGGUGUUAACAUGCUGCCUUCUCCAGAUUGUGGGCUAAUACAAAAGGAAAUCGAGAUCAAAAUUCACAUAUUAACUCUAUAUUAACUAUCUUUCUUAUCUAGUAUCACUAAGGGAGUUCAUAUAACCUAUAAUUGGGGUCCCAAUCAGCUGGAUCAGGUACCGAUGAACUGCAUUCAGGUAUAUCAGAUAAACCCUCUGAUGGCUGUGAAGAGACCGCAGCAUGUUGAUAGGAUACUUGAGAAGUCCCAUGACUGCCAAUUGGGAAGUCACCUAAAGACAAAUCAUUACGGCCACCUACCAGUUGCCUCCAGCUAGAAUGGCCUGAAUUUGAAAGCGAGCUCGGAAAUGAACCAACAUGCCUACGUACUUGAGCUCCAGUGUGACUACUACUGAUGCCAUCAAAAUUUUGCUCAGGCCCGUGCUGAGAUGCAUUUUCCUGAGGUUGAAUAGACAUAGCUGAGUAGCCCCAACUUCUCCUCCUGUUGUACUGGCCCACUGCAACUGCUUUUCCCAAUGAGGAAGAAUGCAUAGGGCCUCUUGCAAUAGUGGAACCAUACUUUCCAGCAGAAGCAGUGGGAAUUUGCAUUGGAGGAGUAAAUUGGGAGGGACUAGCUCCAAGAGAUGUAGGCCCCAAACUUCCAGGACUUAUGCCAAACCCAUUAUUUCCACGAGAUAAUUGGGGUCUCCAUCUAGUAUCUGGACUACAUCUAGGGAAUCCAACCUGAGCAUGCAAAUGAGGUCCACGUGGAAUAAAUGGCGAAUUGUACAUAUGUCUGGCAUUAACAUCACCAUAGCUUCCAUAACUGCUCCCAAGACCACCAUGAUCGGUAUAACUGCCAUGACUUCCCAGGCUGCCAUAACUACUACCAUAGGAUAAGGGCACCUUCGAAAGACGAGGGCUGUUAUAUGGGAGAGGUUCGUCCACAUUCCCAACCUGGAAAAGUUGAAAUGAAUCUAUUAACUCAAGAAAGAAUAUGAAACUAUAUGGGGAAAAAGGGAGAGAAACACAUAGCUAGCAAGCAUGCAAAAUAAUAAUAAAGAAUUCUUUCAGUGAGAAUGAGGAUACACAAAAUUGAAUAGACAUCACAAACAAAAUCAAGCCAGAUGGAGAUCAACCUGAGGUGAAAGACCAGCAGCAAACCAGUAACCGCCCCCUGGAUUGUGAUCAACCGCAAUAGGACCAAAGACAGGCUGCAAUACGCACUUGUUAGUCCGAUUUAAUUGAUCAGAAACAGUGUUCACAAGUACAAGCAAAAAAAGGCAAAGCUCUAGUUGCUAAAGAAUCUGUCUUGGAUGGAGACAGUAAUAAAACUCAGAAAGAUAAGCUGGUACAAAAUAGUCGUCCGAAGAUUCCUAUCAUGAAUUAUUUAUCAUGAAAACUAAGAUUGGAAGGCCAUACUUACAAUUCUCGGGGUCUCUGGUGGAGGCUUAUAAGGGCUUGUAAAAGGUUCACCAGUGAGAAAUGGAUGACAUGAAGCCUGAAAAAAAUAAUAUAGAAUUAUGAAAUGCUUUUUGAAGGCACAUGCAUGCCUUCAUAUACACCUAUUGGCAGCAAUAAGUAGUUUAGCAAUAAGACCUGCAACGGGGACCACCUUUUCACCGGAUCAAACUCAACAAGACCCCUCAAGAAGUCAAUCAAGGCCAUGCGAGUCAAAUUUUCUGCAAUAUGAUCAUGAUAUCAACCAGAUGCAGAAGGAUAAUAUAGUAGUAGUAGUUAUUUUUCAGUACCAAACAGGUGUUUAAAACUAACCUUUGGAGAAUUCUUCUUCAGCCAAGUUUUUCCUGUAUGGGUAGUUGGCAAUAAUGUCUUCAAGCUUUACAUAAUUGAAAUAUCGUUUCCCCAUUGUUGGUCUUUUAGAUUCUCUCUGAAAUAAAAACAAAAACAAGGAACACAAUGAGAAUUUAGUUUAAAACAUUGAUAUAUAAUUAGUAGAAUGGCUUAAGACUCACUGCUUCAUACUCCUCUUCAGUUAAUAUUCGGUAAGCACUAGACACUCCGUAGUAGGCUCCACAAUCUUCAAAGCGAUAGAUACCACCAACAUGUUUAAAGAACUUGCUUGCGUUUUUUGCAUUUCUAAGCAGAUCAUCAGGCGGUUGUCCACUGAAGAAUUUCAAAACACAUAAAGGAAGAAGAGCAUCAUGUUAAUCUGACUGCAAAUACCAUAGUCUUACGUGAUCCACCUUCACCGCAACACUAUUGUACAUCACAACUAGGGGCAUAAACUGUUGAGAAACAUGAACAGGAAUAAACCUUAUUUCAAGAUAUUUUCAUAAUAUUCCUUGUGUAUUCUUUGGUCGUUUAUUUAGACAGACUUCAUAAUUCAAAAUAAUUCUAAAAGUUAAGCUUGUUAACUCCAAAGGAAAAGAAAGAAAACAGAAAGAGAGAGACAAAAAAAAGGCAACCCCAGCAUUAAGUGCAAUUUCAAGAUAUUAGUGAGAGUGAAAUGUGUAGGCAAUAAAAAGAAUCGUGACAGUUAUACAAAUAAAUUUGGAAAAAUGUAAUGCAACGAUAGGGAAAGUGACCUACCCAAGUAUCUCUAUCAUCCUCUUAAGGAGAUCAUACUCUGAGGCUCCUGGAAAUAAAGGCAAUCCUAAGAAUAACUCAGCGACAAUGCAGCCAAAGGACCACAUAUCGAUGGCAGUAGUAUAUCUGAUGAUAAUUAAGAAUAGAAAAAAUGAACACUCCUAGUCUUUAACUUGCCAAAAGUUUAAAGUGAGUAUAACCAACACAAAUGAAGUUUAAUUUGCAGAAACAUUUUGUUUUUAUGCUCGAACAAAUAUGACUGGUUCUUAAGGUCCUCAUAAUUGCAUAAUAUUUAUCACUGACAUUAAUGAGAAGCUAUGUUACAAAUCUGACAUCAUUACAUCAGAAUGUAAAUCAGCACCUAAACCAAUAAAAGAAGUGCUGCCAUAUAAAAGAUGACAGCUGCAUUCAGAUCAGCAUCCAAAACAUGCUAUCACAAAAGAAUAAGCACAAGAAACAGAUAGAAGAUAUACAGGGAAAAAUACUUGCCAUGAAAAAUCCAAAAAGAAAAACAAAACAAAACAAAGCUAAAUUGCACAUCAAGCUGUCAUAGAGGAUACGGAUAACCAAGAAGAACUUCUGGAGACCUAUAAUAUCGGCUCUGCAGCAAAAACGCAAAAAACAAAAAAACAAAAAUCAAAAAGGCAUAUCUUGUUAUAAAAUGAAACCAGUCAACACUACCAACUUAGUUUACUCCUUAAGUUAACAUACACCAAAGGCAAACAAUAAGGAACUUAGUGGACCUGAAUAUAGGAGUAAAUUGUCCGACCCUCCAUGCAUGCUGAUCCAAAAUCAAUAACUUUUAUUUCUGGUGGUUUCACACUGAAAAGUCCAAAAAGCUCCAAUUAAGUUCGAACAAAAAGAGGAAAACAUCGAUACAAAUGAGGUUUCAAUCAGCAGCUCACCUAGCAGAUAUAAGUAUAUUUUCUGGCUUUAGAUCACAAUGUAUGAUACCGGCAUCUUUCAUGACAAUUAAUGCAUGUAAUAUCUGAAAACGUGUAAAAAUGCAAGGUCGGUAAAUGGAAAAAAAAAAGCAAUUAAAUGCUCAAAAGGCUCUCAAAUAAAAUUGUGACCUGUUUUGAGAAGAUCUGGACAUAGUUUAAUGACAAUCCUUUAAACUGGUUCAGUUUGAUAAGCUCAUACCUACAAAAGAGAAGUUUCACCACCAGUAUGAUUGAGAGUAGGUCAGCAGAAGUUGUUUGAGAAUGAAAAAAAUGCUAUAACAGCUAAGCACAAUUAUCUUACAGAUUUGAGCCAAGCAUUUCAAAAGUUAUACAUAAGUGACGUUGAUGUACAAAAUAAUCAAGAAUGCGGACAAUGUGAUGUUGGUCAUCAGGAUCAAACUUCUGAUUCAGCUGGAAGAAGUACACCCGAGAUGGUAGAGUCAAUUGCUUUUCUGGAUUUCUAAUUAAAACAAAAAUAUUUAACUGCCAAAGAGAUCAUUUUACCAUGUGCAAAAUUGACACCUCAACCUUUGCCUGUUGGUAAUAGGCAGGCUGGUUUUUGAUAAUCUUGACAGCAACAUAGUUGUUGGUUUCUGUAUCCCAACACUUGGCCACUUGUCCAAAUGUACCUUGGCCCAGAACAUCUUUGACAACAUACCUAGAGAUAAAAAAAGACGAGAUAAGUAAUUAUUCAUAUUGAUUCAUCUUAUUCAGAUUUCCCGGUCAGCUUUCUUUUAAGAAGAGAAACAGUAAAAGGUUAUACAGAUAAAAUAUCGAAAAAUUAAAAUAGAAUUUAUGGAGAGAACCAUAAAACUAUGUCAGAACAGUAGCACAGAAAAGAGACAAGAAUCUAUAACACAGUAUCAAGUAUCGGCAGUCAGUGCCGAAAGCUGAAACCAAACCUUCGAUUUGAUUUCAAAUUGACCAACACAGAGUUCACAUGCAAGAUGAGAUCAGAAUUCACAUUAUCGUGGCCAUCAUUCAGCACUCCAUCAGAUGGAUUAGUAAGGAAGCGCUUGGGGUUCAGUUCCUCAGAAUAUUUAAAAUUGGGAUUGCAGAUUUGGAAUGUUUCAACAAUAUCCUUGGUUAAUCUUGCCACAAGCUGCACAAACAAGAAUUAUUUUCAGUCUUGAACAAAAAAAAGAAAAAGAAAAAGAAUAUAAUCAAUCUAAGCCUCAAAGGUAGCAUAAAUAACUCAUCAGUGCAGGUAACUCAAGCAAAAAUCUACUCCAGCUACUGUCCAAUCUCAAAUGAAAAGCUACCACUCCCUUGAUAGUUUUUUAUCUACAAUUGUCGUUUGCAUUGCAUGUAGCUGUACGGCAGGCAUUGUUACACCGCCAAGGCAAAAAGACUAUCAGCUUCUCUGGGCAACCAACUAAUUCCUCUCUUCGCUAUAACUAGGAUGGAAAUAGGUUCGAAUUUUCUAAAGGAGCAAUCUCGAAAUGCAAAUUACAUCUUGCCUAUAUUGUCGACCAGCCAGACAAAGCCCCAUUGGGACCAACAAGUAACAAAUCAGCAUUCUUCACAGCCAGGGAUCGCCACCAAAGAAAAGGCAGCGAAGAGCAAUCUCAAUUCGAUUUAAAUUCAGAAAAAAUGAGAGCAAUUUAGAGUAGAAACACUCAAACACACCGGCCUCCUGCCGAUAACCCGAAUGUUGCUGGAUUUGGCCAUCGAAGGCUGAGGCGAGAUAUACUGACGAAAAGCCUUCGUUCCACACGGUAUCCACGACGAACUAGAACAUGAAGAGCUGGAGCUGGAAUUGGGAUUGGAAUUGGGAUUGGAACCUUCUGCCGUCGCAGCCUCCGUCUCGUCGGCGGCACCUUGAGAGCCAUCCUCUUUACUGAUCCCGCGCUCCUCCAUCCUGAUCAACGCCCCCUCACCACCAUCCGAUCCCCAGCACACAAACGCGCGCGCGCGCGCUCUCAAAGAGGAAAAGAAGAGGAAAAAAAAAGGAAGAAUCGGCUUAGCCCGAGUCCCUGAUGGCGGUUCGAUCGCCCUCAGCUGCCGAAUGCCAGUGGGGGUUCCGUCCCGUGAAAUCCAUCCGCAUCCUAUCGCUCCGUCAACGCCAUCGGAUUGGAAGCAGCUGCGGCGGAGGCGAAACCCGCAAUGCCCGAUCGAGAUCGGGAGCCCCACGCCCAGCAGAGGCCAACUACUGUUCCAAUCGGAUUCCAGAGAGGGGAGAGAUCUUUCUUCAGGAAAAGAAAUCGAGGGGAGAUUGCUGUGGUGUUUCUCUCUCUCUCUCUCUCUCCCUCUAGCUUAGCUAGGAUGGAACCUUCGCUCUGCUCGAUCCGGGAGCCCCCGCCGCCGAGAAUCCCCCUUUGUUUUCUUCUCCGUCUCCGUUCGCCCUCUCUCUCUCUCCUCUACUUUUUUUUGUUUUCUCUCUCCUCUUUUUUUUUUGUUUAUAUAUAUAUAUAUAUAUAUAGGGAUAAUUUCAUCAGUACCCCUCUAGGAGACAGUAAUUUCAUAGAUAGCCCUCUAAAUUAGAAAAUAUCAAGAAUACCCCUCUAAAAAGCAAAAAUAUUCAUAAAUACCCUUAAGCCUAACAUUCCGUUAAAAAAGUCAUCUAAAAUUCUUUAAAUNAAAUUAGUCAUUUUAUAAUUUUACCCUAACGUAAGUUAGAAUAAAGGGUAAUUGUGAUAUUUUUCUACCUUUGAAGGGGUAUAUAUGAUAUUUUUAAUUUUAUAGGGGUAUUUGUGAUAUUUAUAUGUUUAAGAGGGCUAGUGAUGAAAUUGCCCCAUAUAUAUAUUAUUUUUCCUCUCUCUCGCCGUAACAGCCGCAAUUAUUCAUAUGUCAUCGCACAUUUAACCCUGGUUAAGCAGCUUUCCUAAACUCUGCAUCCACCGUGGCAAUGGACUAGUAAAGAGGACCUCUUGGGGUUAGAAGCCUCCGUGGGACCCCGCUGGUCUUGUGGGAGAGUAGGUUUCUGGGUGUGGUCGCAGGUGAUGGCGUUCGCUUGUACCGAAGAGUUAUCCCUAAUGUGAGAUCUCUUCCGGAUUACUCGUCGUAACGAAGAAUAAAAUCUUCCGCUGAAGAAUCACUGUUAUCGCGUAAUUUUGGACGGCCGCUCAAUUAUUCGGGCCAAACAUUUGCCGUUGGAUCCCCGUCUGAUUUGAGAAUCCUUGUGAAAUUUCACUGUUCACAUUAUAUUAUUCUUAUUUUCGAGAAAGAUUAGUAUUAUUAUUGUUGUUGUUGUUGUUAUUGUUAUUGUUAUUGGUAAUUGGUCGUGGUGGGCUUGGCCCUGACUCGGGUGCGAUUGGGCCACACAGAACCGUCCAAUUGGCAUCCGACGGUUCGUACGAGGCGUGGUUGGAGCUAGCGGCGCUCGGCGCGAGCUGGCGAUGCACCGGACACAAGGGUGGGAUUGAAUUGGGGGACCCGCCGAGAGGGGGCUCGGGACAACAGAAUUUGCUGAGUCACACGUGGACGUCACGUGCGGUGGAGCAGAGGCGUCCAAAACCAUGGUGUCAGGUUGGACGACACGUGUCCUCAAUGCUGUGCCAAGUUUUAGUCUCGCUCUCGCGUGCCCUCCCCGUCGGCCGGAUACACGAGGGCAGUAGGAUGGCCUCAAUAGGAUAGAGGAUAGACACGACUAAGGCCAAAUUUAUUGUGGGCCGAAGAAGCUACCACUUUGAAGCUGCUCCGGCCUACAAGCACACUUUUCGGUAUAGUGGGCCCCAUCAGAUUCAGCCCUGUGAUGAGUGACCUACAAUUUCAAACAGGCCGUAAGCCCCUAACAAGACCACCGAGUCUCGCAAGUCGCAUCCACCCUCUAUAAUAAGCUGAAAUUUGCAAUGAGAGUUUAAAAAUACUACAUGGAUUUCGCUUCUGAGUAAUGAAGCUGCUAAUCAGACGACUAACCCGAACAAGCUGCUGACCAAGCAACAGGCCGGGCCUGCUGCCUGAAUCAAUACUCGGCGUAUAAUUAAUAGAACACAAGAAUGCAUGGAUAAUUCCGGUACAUCGUCACGGCUGGGGGCAAAACAUGCAACUGCUUUUCAUGGUUCCACAUCACCGUUGGUGUGCUCAAAUUCCCUGGCAUAGUAUAGUACACAAAAAAGAUACCCAAAGCAUUACACGUCUUGGCAAACCGAACUUUCUGAAUAACAUUCAAUUGAAGGGCUCUCUAUACAGUUUUUACAAAAUGAAAACAAAAACAAAAACAAAAAACAGAGGAAAAAAAAAAAAAAAGGUGGCGGGGAAAAAGUACAACCAAUAUUCUUUCUCAUCCUGUAGUAAAAUAUUUUUGAAGAAUGUUUCCGUAAUAAGAUUCUAAUGACCAAUGCAUUCCAGGGCAAUGCCCAUGAGUAAUCAAUUUCCCUAAUAUCCGCCACCGGGUAGAUAGCCCGAGGGUCCGAGAACUUGAACCAAGACAGCUGAGUUACAGUGAUGUGCGGAUUUCGGAGUACAAAGGUGGUCAUUGCCUUUCUCUACAGCAGGUGUAACGGGAUGGUACCCUUUUAAGCCACAUCAACCUUCUAUGUGGCAGCCAAGAACAGCGAGGGGGAAGAAGUGAUCACAAUACCACUUCACUUGCAUGGACAGUCGAUGGAUAAAUUCAAUGCCAAGACCUGCAAGUUGAUGAGCAAGUCAAACUGUUGCCGAGGAACAGGAUGACCACAUCAACUCUGCUGCCACCUCACCAGAUCUGCAGGCUAAUAAUGCACAAACAAAUACAUACUUGCCUCGUGUUCGUGCACCUGCUGAAUUAAUUAGCCCGGCAAUAAUAAUGAUAAUAAUAGCAACAGCUUAAAAACUUGAUGAGUCACCUCCGGUUCUUCACAAUGUUUCAUCAAAAUUAUCUGAGAUUCCUUAAAAUUCUAAACAAUAACUUCCCGAUUUAUAUUGGGCGGUCACCUAUCUUUUUAAAGGAAAAACAAAUCUUCUAAAGAAGACAAAAUGAAUUUCAGAUUUCAGACGCUAGUAUUUCUGAUCUGGGCUCUCUGAACUGUGCAAAUGAUUUAGUAUUGAUAAUGACUUUACAUAAAGUUACUGGUAAGGAAAUAUGUUGGAAAAUGAUUUCAAUGAAAAGAUGGCUAUGUUGUAUCCACAGUGUCGUGAUGUCAAAAUGUUCAGCGGAAAAUUCAUCGCUGGUAGAUACACGUAGAAUACAUGAUAUUUUCAUUAUCUUAUGUUGGAUUUCCCGAAAUGCUGCAAAAACACCACCCCCCUAACUGCUGCAUACGUGCCCAUGCCCUACUGGACAAAUGCGCAUGAUACAGAAAGUAUAUAUGCCAUUUUAAAACAAAAAUGAAACACUGUUCGUUUCACUAACAUAAUGUGAAUAGAUGAACAAUGCCGAACUUCUUAGAGGGGAAUAAAAUAGAAAAGCUUGCAAGUCAUAUUAGCCUAAUAUGCUUAUCGAUGGAAUCAUGCCAACAUGUCAUUAAGCUACAAGAAAAUAAAGUGCAAAAAGCAAAUUGAUAAGUAUGACUCCUACGACAAAUUAAGUAAAGAAAGGUGGGCUUAAACAAGGUGGAGCAUAUAAAAGACAUGUCUGCUGUUUCAGUGAUCAUGAGAUCUUUAUUACUACAAUUCUCACAGGUGUUGAGAAGGAAACUGUGGCAACCAGGGUCUCAAGUUGCAAUAUAUGCCAAGUCAUCAGUUUAGAGGUUACUGCCCCUUUUUUGGUAAAAAAAUGAAAGGGCUUUUUUUACACAGCCCCCUCUUUUUUUUUUUUGACAGAUGGUCCAAGCAAAUUUAUAUUUGCAUAUAUGGUCAAUCACCGUGUUUAAACACGGUUAAUUAAAUCAUCGUAUUCAUAUUCACACUUUAAUCCCUUCUUUUUAACUUAGGAGCUGUAAAAAAUAUAAAAGAAAUACGGUGAUUCAAUCACAGUAUUUAAACACGGUGAUUGAAUUACCGUGUUCAACUUAAAAACACCACCUAGGCGCUCGCGUGGUCAGGAGAUGGUUAUCUAUGCAAAUAUAAAUUUGUUAAAGCCAUUUGGUAAAAAAAAAAGUUUUGGGGGGCUAAAUACUAAAAAAAAGUCCAAAAUAAAAUAGAUGUGAUUGUUUUUUAUAAUAUUCUAUAAAGAAUUCACAAGUGCAUUUACUAUUUUCUAGUCGUAGGAAGCUCUACUAAUUUGGUUUGCCUUUGUUCAGUGUUGGAAAAAUUUUGCAUGGAGUAGAAUCCGAUGUUGAAGUAGAAGUCUGAACUAUGUGAUGCAAAUUAUUAAAAUUAGGAUCCAUAUGUUGAUAUGUAGAUGCCGUUUCCUCAAGCAAUUGCUGAACAACAAAUUUACUUACUUGACGGCUCAGCAGUGAGGCUACAAAUAUAUGUGCGUGUGUAUAUAUAUAUAUAUAUAUAUAUAUAUAUAUAUAAUGAGCUAAUAUUAGUAAAUCUGACAGCUCUAUUGUUAAGCAUUCUUCUCCUCCCAGAAGAUGUUGGAUCAUCUUCCACUCCAUUUUAUGUCUAUUCUUACCACAGUAAUCUAUAUCUUCAGGACAUAGCAUCAAAUGAAUUAUAGCAAUCCAUUUUAAGCAGACUACCUACCACAUCGGGCAUUCAUAAUAUUCACAAAUUAAGAUGACAUAAAGACCCCCCCCCCAAAAAAAAAAGCACGAGAAAAGAUCAAAAAUAUCUCUAGAAAAAGCAUCACAAUCAUGGACACACCGAUAUGCUUAGCUUAUCAUGAUUUAAUAAGUAGCAAUGAUGGACGGUGGUCUGCUAACUAAAAAUAAGGUGUGCAAGCAAUGAAGUAGAUGAUGCAGCGUGUUGAUGGGCAGACGCGCAAGAAGGAUCCCAAAUUGGGCAGAUUUACCCAUCACGCAAUCAUCGCCGACCCGCGGAAAGAAAGCAAGAUACAUAUCCAAAAUUGAGCAAAACAAGCAAACAUCCCGGCCCAGGGCAGGGGGUAGGGAGGUAGGGAGGGGCGUGACUAGUACUGUUAUCAGCGGAAAGUGACCGACCACACCUUUUAACUUUCUAAUAAAAGACCAAGCAAACAGCGGCAAACUUAAAAAAAAAAAAAAAAGUAAAGAUAUCACCCACCGAUCAACAAACAAACAAAACAGAACAUAACCACAAAAACGAAAUUAAGAAUCGCACGAAUCCGGUGCGGUACGAAGAUCUAAGAUAGGGAGGGGGUUUAUACGAUUGGCUGGAGAGCAUCGCAAUCCGGCUCCGAUUCAGUUGGUGCAAGGUGGGAUCCGGCUCGCUGUGGGGAUCGAGGGGGGAGAGCGAGAAAUCGAGCCGUUCCCGACCUGCACCAAGCGAAUCCGAGGCGGCGACGACCACGCGAACCCUAACCCUAACCCUAACCCUAGAGUGGAUUGGAUUGGAUUGGAUUGGAUUGGGGGUUGUGCGAGCUGGCGGAUGCGAGGAGGGGAGCAGGCCAGCAGCUCUUCGACAAUCAGCGUACGAGAUACGGCGCUGACGAGAAGGCAUAUUAAUAGCUGUAACGGACGGCCAGGAUCGUGACAAGUUGGUGUUUCGGAUCCGUGCGGAAAAAGGUCUCCCAGGAAGAGGGCAGCAGCCAGUAGGGUGGAUGUGCAGGUAGGUAAAAGUAUCCACGUCCAUCAUGAGCACAAUUUUUUAUUUUUAUUUUUUUAAUUUUUUUAAUUUUUUUUUAUUUUUAAAGGGUGGGGGGGAGGAGGGGUGUGCGGGGGUUGAACAUUCAUUUGAUUAUCGGAACGAGAAGCUUAUAACAAACUCACAAAACCCACAGACUAAUUACUUUGGAAAACAAAUUAAAUAAAUAAAUAAACUAGGAACUAGUUAGGAACUAGGAAGAAUGUUUUGCACUCGGAUCAUCUCUAUAAUUUCAAGCUCUUGGCAGAUUGCAGUAAGCUCAGCAAAAUGUAAGAGAGGCUGUGACACCGUGUGCUUGCCAUCCUUAGAAUUAACUAUUGGGAAAAUGUACAAUCUGGCGCCUCAUGAUCUUGUCUAUUUAAUAAUUACUACUAAUUACUACUAAUAAAUGGCAUCCAUGGCAGCCAUCCCCGUUCACAAUAAAUAGAAGAAAAUAGUUCAAAUGUAGCCCCGAAAGACAGGCUUAGAGCCCCACCAAUGUGGAUUGUGGACGCACAGAGUAUCUAUGGAUGACAUACACCAUGACCAGAUUGUCUAGUAUAAGUCUAGUCUAAUCUAAUUAGGAAAGGUUUCCCUAUAUUCAAGAACAAGGUGCAUGAAAGGAGAAGUGAAAGUGUUGGCAAAUCAAUUUGUUGUUAAAGAGCGUAUGAACCUGAUCCAGCGCAUUUUAGGGAAUCUCUCUCUUACAACAUCACAGAGGAUAUAUAUAUAUAUAUAUAUAUAUAUAUAUAUAUAUAUAUAUAUAUAUAUAUAUAUAUAUAUAUAUAUAUAUAUGUGAGAGAGAAGAGACAGAGGGAAAAUUUUGAAUUAGAAUAUUUUCAAAAGCACCAAAAAGUUUGUAGCCCUUGAAUAUAGUGAUGUAGCGGUAGGAUAAUUGUGGUAGGUGUUGGUAAGUAAAAUAGUAUUUGAUCUAAAUGUUAGAAACCUAAAAGCACUACACGAUUGGUGCUCCUAGGUGUAUUCUAGCUCAAUUCUAUAUAUAUAGGGAGAUAGUAAGGCUAAUGUGCUAUUAAGAGUAUAACAGUUUUUGUGCUCCUAAUUUUAUAAUCAUUUAUCAAUUUUGAUGAAUGAUUAGGGUGAAAAUAUAAGAGAAAUUUGAUGGAAGAAAAAUUAAGACACCUAAAUUCUCUCCUAUUUUUUUUCUCUCUCUCAUCAUAAUCAUCCAUCCAUAUUGAUGGAUGGUUAGGAAAUAAAGAGUAUAAGAACUGUUGUAUUUUAAUAGCAUAGUAGUCUCCUAUACUAUCUAUAGUACUUGGGCUCCGGUACUAAGUCUCGUUUUCGAUCUUAGGGUGUUCAAAUCAACGAUCCACACUGUUAAAACUGAUUUAGGGUAUUUAAAGUUUUUGAAAAUAAAAUUUUAUAUUUUUUCGACAUAGUUUAUUUUAUGAUCAAAUCAUUUUAAAAUUAUCAAUUUUCAAUGGCUACUAUGGCGAGUUUGGAGUUUAACGGUAUAGAAGAAUCUAAAUUUUUUCAAAUUUUGAUAAAAAAUACUUCAAUUUUUACUGUCCAUUUUGACAUAAUUUAUUUACUAAGUAAAUGAUGUAAAAAAAAAACUAAAAUUUUAUUCCUAAGAACUUCAUAUACCUUAAAUCAUAUUUAACGGUGUGAAUCGUUAAUUUGAAUACCCUAAGAUCGAAAAUAAAAUUAUAGUACCGGAGCUCUAUAUUAUAUAUUUUUGAGAGAUAGGUAGCACGCUACCUGUUUCGUUUAUUUUAUUUAGAAAUAAACUUACAAAAAUUGUGAAUCAACUAAGAUUCGAACUUGGGUCUCAGAUACCACCACCAAAUUCUUAUCACUUAUUCUAUGGACGGUCUGUAAUUUUAUAUAUAUAUAUAUUGAUUGUUUUGAGGUGAGGUAGGUAUUAUACCUAACAAACGCAAUGCCUAUCCUAUAUCCUCGGUCCAUUUACAUUGCACUGCAUCAUCGUAUGUCUCGUCUCUCUCCAGUCGGCACUGGCCAGCUGGACCUUAAAUAUAGUUGGUAGCUCCCCACCGAGCUCUAGCUAGCCUAAUUCAUGAAUCAUGAUUAGAGCUCUCAAGAUACUUUAUUAGCGUCUCGGGAUUGACUUGUAAGUGGAGAACUAAAAUUUCAUCAGAGUGCUCUUAUGCGCCGAAGGGCCCAGGGAUGUGAUACGAUCGACUUAUGAGAAUAAAAAAGGACAAAGAGCUAGAUGUUUUUAACUGUUAGAUAUUUUUUGAUUGAAAAUAAAAAAACACCAUGAAUACAAGUCAGAUUCAAAUAAACGAAAGGGAAGCCGAGUGUAACACAAGAUAGUGGGCUAAAAUAAGAGAGCUCACAGUCUACCUUCAUCUAGCAGUUAAAGCGGUGCAACUGGAGCUUGGCAUAAUUGGUAAUUAGAAAUAUCAAGAAGCUAGGAUUUUGAACAUUUGAUCUGUAAAGCAUUUGGCCCAACCAACCGGCCGUCCAUCCAGCAGCAGCAGCAGCAGCAGCAGCAGCAGCAAGGACAACAAAAACAAGGCCGUCCAUCCAACAACAGCAGAAGCAGCAGCAGCAACGACAACAAAAACAGAAACAGAGAAUCUCUGCCAACUCACUUUCGGUCCAAACAACAGGUAAAUGAGGAGUGCGGACCGCCCAUGGUUGGGUCCCGUCGCUUUGUCUGUCUGAGAUCCCCCGCCUCCUCCACGUCCAGCUCUCUUAUAGUCCUUCGAGAGCAGCCUGCUCGGCUCUCCAAUUUGGGAAGACAAACACACCUUUUCAACUGUAGCUUUACCUGACCACACGUUUAGUAGCUCAAUUGCAAGAAAUACGCUUACUGAGUUGAAGCAAAUGUGUGCCGCCAACUUGCUAAAGGAAGAAAAAGGAAUCAUAUAGACAAAUGUCCCUAGCACUAAGGUCAGUCAUCUCAGAAGUUAUCUUCCAAGUAUUAUGGACCUUAGAAAAUAUUAGAGCGAAUCGGUCCGUUGCAUUGCAUACACCGCCUUAAGCUACCUCCGGCACCAAAGUUCAUCCCGUGGUUCACGUUUUUAUUCUCAAGCAGUGAUUAGGCGACAAUGACCAUGCGGAUAGUAACCUACCUGAUCAUAUCCAUAUCCAAAGACUCGACGGUCAAGGACCAUGCGGUAUGUACAGUUACGCUAGUUGGAGUCUUUGUGGAGUUAAUUAGUCAAUUUGUAUUAGCGGGUACUGAGUACUAGUUUUCCUAAUUAUUAAUGGCAGUGGGGUUCUAACCAUUUUCUCCGCUUUCUUUUCUCUACCUCACCGUUCUGAAUUCCAUUCUUCCCAGUAAACUCUCUAACCUAUCCCACUUCUCUCAAUUUUUAUUGAAUUGUGGGCUUGCAACCAUGUGCGUCUGUGCACGAGGCCGCAGUGCCUUCUGCACUCUUAUGAAUGAAGUGGGUCAAGACAUUGCCUCAAAAGAGAGGCAAAACACCCCCCCCCCCCCCNAAAAAAAAAAGAAUUUAGUUUUACUCAUUCACGGUAAUUACAGCAUCUGAUGAUUACAUUCACACAAAGAGACAAGCCAGCCUCCAACAUGGAGACCCCACACGAGACGAAACGAACCACAAAACAGGCCCGACGAACCGCAUGAUGCACAAAUCAAAAUCAACACAUUAAUAUACACUAGCGACCAUCAACAAGGCCUUAACAAAAAAGCAUGCUUCCCACGGCCCCACCCAACCUACAGCAAAGCGAUGUCUCACAACAGAGAUCAGAUAAUGUUAAAAUUCAGUUAAAAGUUCAUUUAUAGAACUCUCAAGCUGCAAGGACAAUGAUCACAAUAAGCAGCACAAUACCAAAAAUCACCAAAAGCAAGCACAUCUGCAACAAACACACCAACAAUCAGCUGAAACAGACAAAUAUUAUUCAUUUUGAGAAAUAUUCUAGACCGCAUAUUGGGCAUACCAGUGAUGAAUUUGACUUCUGCGUCUUGGAUGCUUUUGCAAGUUGGGUAUUUGCCUGUGCAGUAGAUGCAGCAGAGUUCUCAAUGUUGGCAUCGAUGUCAUCUGCAGGAAAACAAUGUGACAUUCAUUGAGAGACUUUUUCAUUCCCAAUGGCAAGGGCGGACGGGUGUGUGUGUGGGUUACCAAUCAUGGCUCCUUGAUCAUGGACAAGCAUGGCUAGGUCCUUAAAAAUCUCAUUCACUUCACCAAUCUGCUGCUGAAUCUCCUGAAUGCCUUGUUCUCGCUCCUCAAUGAUAGCCUCAUUGAAAGCAAUCUCAUUAUCCAAUAACAAAACCUCUUGUCUGCAACAUCCCAUGAAUUUAAAAUAGGAGGGUUAAUCCAAUUACAAACACUUCCUGUGGACGUUGGAAACAUAGCAAUGUUAGCUGCUGGAUUUUGUCUACAAUUGUCGGGUGCGGCUGAAAGGAAAGCAUUAAAGACUUGCGCAAGGGUUGGUUCAGUCGGGAUGUUUUCAUGCUCACUGUAUUCAGACAACAAGGAAAAAAGCCCGAGCUAAAUUGAUAUAUCCAACUAAUGAAGGCACUUCACUGGUUAACUGGCAGGUCAGGCAGGAAAUCUGGAUUAUUCAAUAGUGCCACCGUUUUCAAUGGAGAAUUCGAAACAUUGAUCAAAGUGAAAUCUGGAGUGGCCAUUACAAUGGGAAAAGAGCACAAGCAGAAUUAAAGAAACGAAAGCCUCCUAUCAAUUUAACAGACAGAGGACCAGAUUGAAAUUAUCAGUCAGCACUGUUUUGAGCUUCAUAACUGAAACAAUCGACGAGAAAUCUGUAGGGCAACUAGAUAGGAUAGCACAAGGCAAGUGAGAUGUCCAAUGUAAGAGCGCUGAAUAAUUGAGAGUGUGGCAGCUCAAGGGUGAAAAACCAAUGUACGAGAAUUUUCUAAAAAUUGAUCAAAACUUCUCAGUGCAUAGCUCCUUGGGGCCAAACAACAACAACCAUACCUUAUAUCAAGUAAGCCACUAAUGAUAAUUAUAUAUAGCAAAACAAGAGCAUGGUAUACAGACCUCCUUGAUUCAACAAGCAAUGCACGUUGUUCAGGUGUUUUAUCAGGACGAACAUUUAUCUCACUUGCUGUGUAGCUGUAUCAAAAUGACAAGAGACAAGAUUCACAUAAUAAGUUGGCAGUUAAAAUUCAUUGCAAAGAAAUGAAACAAGUGCUUUCCUUAUAUCCAAAACAAGUGAGGCUGUGAAGACGAACAUGACCAGGAAGCUUCAAAAUAUUCAAUUUGUCAAAGUCCUGAACCCUUUUGUACAACAGAAAUAUCGAACAAAAUAUUCAAUAAGAGCUAAAUAAGCUACACCGCUAGGAUCCAGCCAAGUAACACUACCUUGAAGGAAGCACUGCUUGGGGAACAAAUGAAGUAUAAGCCGUCUCCCUCUGAACUGCAAGGUUUUGAGCUUUUUGGAACUCUUGCAUAAUUGCUUUGAAAUCUUUUGCAAGCUUCGCAUCAGCAAUCUUUUUGCUUGCCUGCAGUGAAAAUAGAGAUUUCUUAGAACAACAAAGAAAUAUAAGUAGAGGAUAGAGUUAUAAAUAUAACCUGAUAUUAAUAAAGUUAACGACAAACUGCGAAAAUUGCACAAUGCUGAAACCACUCAUCUAUAAACUUGUAACCCUUUCUGAACAAAAGAGCACCUCAAAUUACAAUAGAAAUAAACGCUUGGAAACUACAACAUGGUAAAGGAACAUAAUAGAGGCUAUGUACAAAGCAGGGAACUGGACCUUGAAGCUUCAGAAGGCAUGGGAACUCAUCAUCUGUCAUUAACAUAGCCAAAGGGCAAGCCAGAGAAUUGUGAAAAUUAUUCAAAAAAUUGAGCCGCACAAAUUAGGCAGAGGGAAGAACAAGAAUCCUUGCAUAACAAGAAAGAAAGUUUUUUCUCCUGCGCACUCUAUCAUGCUCUUCCUAGUAAAAGAUGGUAACAACUCUGUUGAAAGCACUAGAGAUGAACAAUUCAAGUCAUAGGUUGAAAAAUUGAUAACGAAGUAAGUUACCACUGAUUUUUUGUAAGCCAUUGCACGAUUAGCUUUUGCUUUUGUCCAGAUGCACCUUGAGAUUUUGAGAGAGUACUUGAAGUGAGAGCAAGCAAGAUUAAUACAUAUAAACUAGAUUUCAUUUUAACUGUUUGUAGGGCCCACAUAUAUUGGAAUUCAGCCCACACUAUAAGAAACUUGUAUUUUAUCGAGCAACAAGUAAGCAAUUUGAUCUGGUUAGGGCCUAAUGCGGUCAAGUUUAAUUUAGGGUGCUCUGGAUAGCUCACUUGCAUCAGAACAGCAACUGAGGCUUGCAAAUCAUUCAAAUGUGGAAUCAUGCGUUCCAUUUAUAAGAUCAAAGAGACAGAGUGGAUAAGAAGAAAAGGUUCUAAUAAGAUACUUACGCUGAUUUCGCUGUUUUUAUCUGCUUCACUAGCUAGUUUGAGUUUGUCCGUGGUAUCUUUUAUUAGCUGAAGAAUAUGUACCCGUGUUUUGUGCCUGCGAGAAGGACAACAUGAAAUAUUGAAUUGGGACAGAAAACAAAGUUUCACAUGGAAUAGUUGGCGGAAAAUUCAGCAAUAUAGUUGAUUGUCAACAAACAGCUGCCAAAAGAACUUUGCAAGCACAUUGCAUCUCGGACUGAGACGAAAAGCAGAGCUUUUCAAUGUUACUCGGGACAAAGAUUGAGGGAUCAUCCGCCUCAACAAAUAAAUAGACCAUUAAAAUAUCAACGCAGGUGCCUUAUGGUUGGCCUUUUCCAAAAGCAAUAAGCCUUGCCAUCUUGAUGAAGUGCUCUAUCGCGUCGCGAUAUGUUGGCCGUGCGGCCAAAUACAGCCGCAGAAUAAAAGACCAGGUAAAACUCUAAACCUGUCGAAAAGAAUUUAGGAGAGAAAGAUGUUGGCCUUCCGUGGACUUCCUCUCGUUGAAAAGGAACGGACACUAAAUUCCGAUGGAUAAGAAACAUCGUCGAGAUAAGAAUCAAAGUACAGAUCAUUCGGUAAUUAAUCACUAGCCAAAGAAAAGAGUUUUUUUUUUUUGUUUUCAGCGAAGAAAAAUCAUUUCAAGAUCAGGGAGAAACAACCAAUACCAGGAAACGAACCAAUCUAGACAAUCUGACAUUUUGACCUGCAGAAGUAACAAAAAAAAAAAAAAAAAAAAAAANNNNNNNNNNNNNNNNNNNNACCAAUACCAGGAAACGAACCAAUCUAGACAAUCUGACAUUUUGACCUGCAGAAGUAACAAAAAAAAAAAAAAAAAAAAAAAAAAAAAAAGGAGGAAAGAGGAAGUAAAGGGAAGUUGCGGACAGCUUAUCGCGGAGGUCGGGCGUGUCCUUGGGGGUGCCGAUGGUGUUGACGAGGCGCUGGAAGGUGGCGACGGCGGUGGUGAUCUGGAAGACCCCCGACGCCACCGCCUGCGUGGAUUCCUUGCCCUUCCUCCCGUUGACCGCCACAUUCCCCCACCGGCCGCCGCCGCGCCCCGAUUCCAGGUCCUGGAAGCUCAUCCUCCUCCUCCACCUCCUCCUCCUCCUCCUCCUCCUCCUCCUCUUUCUUCUUCUUCUGAUAAUGAUGCUGAUGAUUUUAUGAUGGCGAUGACGAUGAUCUUUUAUCUCCUCCUCCUCCUCCUCCUUUUCCUCCUCCUCCUCCUCCUCGGGGAAAAACACCGUCCGAUUUCUUCUUCUCCUUGACGACGACGAUGUUAUCUCUCCUCCUCUUCCCCGAAACAAAGGUGCGAAAGAAAGAAACCCUAGGUUGAACGGCGACGCAGAUGGUCGAAGAUGAUGAUUCGAACGCACGGAACGGAGAUGAAGAUCUCGGUGGUAGUGGGGUUUACAUUACAUAUGGGGCUUGUUUGGUUCGCCCUUCUUUAUCUAGGACGGUUCGCUCUUUUAUUACCUAGCAAUCGAAGGAAUAGGCGAAUCCAUUUAAGUAUUUGAUAUACGAAAAUUAUAUUUCGAUUUCAAUUUUUUGGUCAAUGGAAAAUUUUCAAUCAUUGCUUUUUUUUUUUUCCAAUCCUGCAGUUUGAAUUCCAGCGGAAAAAGAUGCACUUUACAAAAAAAAAAGGAAAAAUAAAUAUCUCAAUUAUAUUUUAUAUUUUAUAUUUUAAAAUUAAAUUCAUUUUUUAACUUAAAUUUUUAAUUAAAAUAUACAUUUAAAUUUAGAAUUUAAAUUUUUAACUCUAAAUUUUGAUUUAAAAUUUAAAUUAAAGUAUAGCCAUUUUGAAUUUGAUCUAUAAAUUUAAAUUUAUAAGUUUGAAUUUGAAUCAAAUUAAAAAUUAGUUUUAUAUAUUUCAAUUUAGAUUGUUAUUCUGAACCAAAUAUAUUGAAAAGUUUUAUGGUUUCAUUUUUAAUUCAUGUCCGUUCCAAUUUAUGUUCUGACUUUAUUUUUCAUUUUGAACUGAAACAUUAUUAUUAUUAUGUAAAUUACAAUAGUGAUUCAAACUGUUUGGUUCAAGUAUAAAGAGAAGAAUAAGGACCUUAUUCCUCUCUUUAUUCCCAAAUAAAUUUUUUUUUUGUCAAUUCACCUCUUAACGGCUUAUCCUUUUACUUCGACCUCUCCUGAUAUUCCUACCAAAUUAAUAAUAAAAUAUAAUUUAAUUAAUGUAUUAUAUAUUUUUUUUUGCUAAUGAACUAGAUAAAUAAUUAACUGCUUAAUUUGUUACUCAAAUAAAUAUUUUAAUUAACUAUUUGAGUAAUUAAUUUAUUAUUUUAAUUAAUUUGCUAAUUAAAUAAUUAAUUAUUUAGUGUACUUAUUCAAUAAUUAGUAUUUAUAUUGAUUAAUUAAUUAAUAUUUUGACUAAUUUAACUAUCUGAUUGUUAUUAAUUAAUUAAAUAAUUAAUUUAUUAAAUUACUUGUGAUUAAAUAAAUAUUAAUCACGAAUUAAUUUAUUAAUUAAUAUUUAGGGUUAUUUGGCAAUAUUUAUGAUUAAUUAGUAAAUUAAAUAAGUUGAAUUAUUAUUUAAUUAAUAUUUUGCAGUAAUUAAUUAGGUAAAAUAUUAUAAUGUUAAAACUAUAAUUAUUCUUAUUCUUGUUAUUCUAAUCUAAAAUUAUCCAAACGUUAUUUUUUUUAUUUUCAAGAAAAAUAUAAUUUUCAUUCAAAUAUAAAAUUAAUUUUAUUUUAGCUUACUCCAAGAGUUGUACCUAUCUCAGGAAUAGUCUAAAAUAGCUUAUUACAAAUAAAAAAUGCCUUAAAAAAAAAACAACGGAGAGGGAAUAGGCUUACAUAGACAGGUGACGAUUAUCGGGCUGGGCUCACGUACUAGAGCCUUAUUGUUUAGAGGGUAAGGGCCCAUGCUAGCCCAUCUUGCUUUUUCUCUUCCCCCAAUUCACGUCCUCGUAUUUUUCAUUUAUUAGAUUAUGUUUGGUUCGAAUAUGACAGAAUUGCGGGCAAUAUGUAAGGAUUACUGUAUUUGAUUCAUUCGGUAUAUAAUCAGGUCAGUAAUGUAAUAUUACAAAUGAUACAAAAUUGAACCGAAAAUAUUAGGGGCUGUGUAUCUUGGAUUAUUGAAGGCGGCUAAUCUUAAAAUUAUAAGUUUACCCCUCCAACUAUCGAAAUCCUUUCAAUACGUUAUUUUAAACAUUUUAAUUUAAAAUUUUGAAUUGCCAACUUUUAAAAUUUAAAAUUUAAAAUUUUAAUUUUAAUUUUUUAUUUUCAAAUUUAAAUUUUUAAAUUUUAAAUUUUUAAACUUCAAAUUUCAAAAUUUCAAUAUUACAUUUUUAAUUUUUAAAUUUUAAAAUUUUAAACUUCAAAUUUCAAAUUUUAAUUUUUAAAUUUUAAAAAUAAAUUUUAAAUUUCAAAUUUAAAAUUUAAAAUUGACAAUUCAAAAUUUUAAAUUAAAAAUUUUAAAAUUUAAAAUUUUAGGUUCAAAUUUCAAAUUUCAAAUUUGUAUUUUAAAUUCCAAAUUUUAAAAUUAGAUUUUAAAAUUUAAAAUUUAAAUUUAAAUUUAUAUUUAAAUUUUAGAUUUUAAAUUUAUAAAUAUCAUUUCUAAAUUUUAGAUUUUAAAUUUAUAUUUCACAUUUAUAUUUUAAAUUAAAAUAUAAAAUUUUAUAUUUCUAUUAAAAUUUAAAAUUUUAAAAAUUUAAAUUAUUUAAAAUAAACUUUAGUAAAAAAAUUAUUUGUAAACAGUAAAAAAAAAAAAGUUUACAAAAUAUUNCGACUAAAGACAAUCUUAUAAUAGUCUAUAUUUUAUUGUUAAGAUUAUUAAAUUUUAUAAAUUGAACAAAGUAAUAAAAUAUUAUAUUAAAUCAAACGCGCUAAUACAGUAUCAAUAGUAAUUUUUUUUAGAAAUUCAAAAUAUUUAAAUAUAUCGAAAUACUUUAUAAUAUUAUAUAACUCGAACAAAAUGCAGUACUAUUGUUAUUCCAAUAAUAAUAAUAAUAAUAAUAACAGUCAAAAUAAUCCGGUUCCCAUAAAUAAACAUAAAUACAAACUGAUACUAGGGUCGAACCGGGACCUUAUCGUUAGCGCAAGCACGGGCCCAGGCAAUUUGAGUCCGAGUCUGUUUCGGCGGACCGCCCGUGGAGCGGAAGCGAGAGCGAGAGAGACGGAGAGAGACGGAGAGGAGCGGAGAGGAGAGGAGAGGAGAGGAGCCGCGGUUGAACCUGGAAAGCAGGGGCGAAGAGUUCUGCCGCGGUUGAUCGUGCUCCCUCUCUCCCGCGCGAUCUGUGUCCUGGGAUUUGGCAGUUGAAAAGGUCGAAUGGGUCGACCUCCGCAUGGCGGCGGCCCCGUCUUCCGAUUCACCUUCAACGAGGUAAACCCCUCCCCCCUACUCGUCUACUUUCCCGCAGUUUAGCUUCCCCGUAUCUAUCUAGGGCUGGUCGCUGUUUAGACUUUAUUUGGAUCCACCAAAUAUCUUAUUCCGCAUGUUUUCAUUAUUUACGUGAGAAGGUUGUACGAUUAGGCCGUGUUUGGACGUCGGAACAAGUAGAUAACUUAUUCGAUAUGAAAACUUUUCUAAUAUCAUUGUAAUUAAGAAGUUUGAUUUUUGUUCUUUAAAGGUUUUGUUAUCCAUAAUUUUGUCGAAUAGUAUAUUUGACCUAUAAAGUCAUAUAUCUUAUUCAAAAAGAUGAUUUGAAGACUGAAUAUGAUAUUUCAUUUUAAGCAUUUGAUCGCACUCUUUAUCUACAAAAUGUAUCUAUCAAAUGUAUAAAUUUCUUGAGUAAAUCAAGAGGAUAUACCAAACGAGAUAUUCAUACAUCCAAACAGGACCUUAGUAGAUGAGGAGCGUGGCCAAAUGUCUAAUGUGAAAAGCUAAUAUAUUUAGUAGACCAGGAGUGUGAUCAAAUGUCUAGAAUUAGAUACUAUAUUCGGCCUUCAUGUCAUCUUUUCGGAUAAGAUAAAUCAUUUUGUAGGUGAAAUAUACUAUUCUACCAAAUCAUGAAUAUCAAGAUCUUCCAAGGAGCAAAAAUUCAACUUUUUUUUUACAAUACAAGCAAGGCCUUUUUGUUCUUGCGUCCGGUUUUUCAUUGGAUUUCUAAAGUUCUCGCUUUAGGAUAUUGACCAGUUUUUCAUUGGAUUUUCCAAUAUAAACACAAUAAGUUUCAUUUUUAGUUACGCGUCCUUCAUUUUCCAUUGGAAGUUGAUAUUUUCUCCCCAUAAAAUAUGAGAGAGAGAGAGAGAGAGAGAGAGAGAGAGAGACAUUCCUUUUUUACUCUUUAUCACCUUACAACACUAUGUAACGUAGGUAAUCUGGAACUGUUCUCGCGCGCUUUUCCAUGUUUGUGUUUUUGCUGAGACUGCCUCAGACAGACCAGACGCCUGAGCCGUCUCUCAUCUUGCCAAAUGUGUCCAAGUUAAGAAUUCAUAAAAUUUCCUGUAUUGUUGUGUUGUUCGGCAUGAAUUUGGUCGGACCCGUUUGGAACUCAGCUAAGCAGAUCCAUUUAAGCUCUAUGUGGACUUAGUACAGUGUGUAUAACACUGACAUAAUUACCACGAGUAAGAUACUGCUGCUAUUAUAAUCUGUAUAACACAAGUUUAUCUAGUAAGUCCUAUUUUUAGGUUGUUGAGAUGGAAGCACGCCUGGAGGAGGUAAAUAAUGCUAUACCUGCUCGUCAUGUUAUAUGUGCCCUUGCAGAGAAGUUCAGGUAUGUGCUAACAUCUAGCUUAUCUGCGGUCACCUUCUGCUUUUUCAAUAUCUUUAGUAUUUUAAGACUUAAUACUAAUGAGCAUCAUCUGCCUUAAGUGCAUCUCCUGAACGAGCAGGAAAGAUUGCCGUCCAGCCAAAGCAGGUACAAGCUUGCCAAUUCCCUAUAGCAAGAACAAACCCCUUUGGAAACUUCCGCUCAUUCUCAAUGUUGUUGCAGGUGUGGAACUGGUUUCAAAAUCGUAGAUAUGCACAAAGAGCCAAAUCUACUAAGGCGUCUGCAAAGCUGACUGUCUCACCUAUGGCCCAGGAUGAUUUACCUUCAAUCAGAAAUGUUGUUCCUCCUGUUCCUGUUCCUACUGGUGCAUAUCGUACACUUGAUUAAUUUAUCAAUAUCAGGAUAAUACUCAUUGACGUUUCCUUCAUGACAAGCUAUUCUUACUUUGUGAUAUGCUGCUUAAUGCUUUAUCCAUGUUUGAAAUUUAUUUCACCCAAUAUUUUGUAGUUAUGGGUGACCCUCUCAGGUUUGGUGCAGUCUGUUUAGGAAGGGUCUAGUUGGUUCUGGGUGGGGCUAGUGUGAAUUCAAACUAGUUUGGGCUGAUUCAAUUUUCUGUAAAUUUGCAUUAGAUUCGGCCUUUUUGUUUGCCGGUGUGAUUUGGCCUAACUUAUGGACAUGCUGAGGGUUCUAUGUUCGCUGUUGGAUUAUAUAGCUUUCUUUUUUUUUGGGUACAAUCUUCGGUUUUGAAGUUCUCUUUCAAUGAAAAGGUUUCAACUCUUGAGAAGAAGAGGACGAAGUUACAAGAGGAGGGGCACUUAUAAGGAGGCAAUCAUUUUAACAUCUGUAAAUAGCUGUGACCCGCUUGAGAAUCCAUCAAGAUUCUCAAAUUUUUUUUGUUACAUUGAUUGUUUUGUUCUUCUAGGAGAUCUUUGUUUCUUUUGCUUCGAGGGAAAAUCUGCUUAUUGAUGUUCAUUUGACAACUUUUUAAGUUACCAAUGGUACUCAAGUUUUCCUCCUCUUCUGUUAGUUUCUGAAUUUUGUUUUUACUUCCCCUUUGUUCUUGAGACACUGUAGCCAUAUCAUCAACCAACAGAAAUUGUUGUUAAUUUGUUGAUUGUUGAUUUGCAGCGUUUGCUGUUUUCCUUUGUGCCUAAAAUCACCUAUUUUUAAGUCCUUGGGUUCUAUUGCUCUCUAACUUAUUGUUAAGCAUCUUUGAGACUUUUGUGAUUCGUAACCAUCAAAUGCAGGAAGAAAUUCUCUGGAGAAUGGCCAAAUGGAAUUUGAAGCGAAGUCCGCUAGAGAUGGGGCAUGGUAAGUAGUCAAUUUAUGUGUGAUGUUUUGUCUAAGUGAUGAUGUUGUGUCUAAGUGAUCAUCAGAUAAUACCUUCUUCCUCCUUUCAUUGAUAGAUCAAGAAAAAAUUAGUCAUCAUCUAUGCCUUCUUCUAUGCUCAAUCUUCCCUUCACAAAUAUUGAAGGCACAUGUUUGCAAGAGCAUAACAGUCAUUUUGGCAGACAACUCUCAACCUUUAUUUGUAAACUAAUGGUAGUCAUAUUUUGGGAUCAUGUUACAAAUUUGUAACAUUUAGGGCUUGUUUGGUUCAAGGGUGGAAUUGGAAUGGAUAAUAGAAUGGGAAUGAAUUGGAAUGAUAAUUGGAAUGACCCACUCCCCCAAGACGUUUGGUUUAUUUAUGGAUUGGAAAUUAGAAUGAGUUAUUCAAAUUUCAUUGUUUGGUUCAUAUAAACUAAAAAAAUUAUAGAAUACUAUAAUAGUAAUUUUACUCUCAAAUAUAAAUUUAUAUUAUUUAAAAUUUAUGAAAAAUAUAAUACUAUUCUCUAAUAAGUUUUCCAAAAAAAAUAUCAAAUUUAUUUUUAAAAACUUUUAUUGAUGUGGGUUAGGGAUAGGGUUUUGAGAGAUGAUAGGUUUUUUUUUUUUUUUUGAUGAGAAAGGGGUGAAGAGAAGGAGGGUGAGAUGGUCACAUGGGCUUUGGGCUUCCGGAAUGAAAUCUCAAUCCGGGCUAGAAGACCGGAAUCAAGUUGAAGGCUAAUGGGCCAUUCCCAUUCCAGUCCGGAAUAGGAAUUCCAAACCGAUUCAUACAAACCAAACAAAAUUAACCGGAUUUGAUCAAACCGAUUCCCAUUUCAUACCCAAAAUAGAUGAACCAAACA
rnacentral:lncRNA from 1 species